CAUCUUUAUCUUCAGCAAUCAGACAGUUUGCACGCAUCAACGUGCAGAAUGAUCUGCGUGCUGUUCUUCGUCCCGCGAUCGAUCGACCGGGCAAGGAUCAGAUGGAAUGGAUCGAGAUUGGGAGAGUCGCCCAGCUGAAAUAGCAAUUGACACUACUAGUUUCUAGUGGAGCUAGCUAGCUGAGGUGAGGUAGGAGGAGACGGUGGAUAGGAGGAAGCUAGGGGAGCGGUGGCCUGACGGAUCGGAUAGAGGGAGGGGAAGCUCAUCCACAGCAUCGAAUCCAGCAAUCCAUUUAUGAUUUAUCCAUGCAGACACACACACCCAGAGGUAGGUGGCUAGCUAGGCGAUGGGAAAAAUUGGGUGCCGGUUGAUUUGCAGGGAAGAAGAAGAAGAAGAAGAAGUACGACCAUGUCAAUCGCUUGUGGGCGAUGGAGGCCAGCAACUCAUGGCUGUGGGCUGUGGGCGUAGAUUCGCGGGCAGUGGAGGAGAUCCAACACCCACUGUGCUGUCGCUGCUGUCCACACACGCACGCGCUCCGUAACAAAUGCACUACUACUGGCUUAGCUUAACUGCUCCAUGUGACAUGGUACUGCCUGGCUAGCUAGCUAGCGGCCAGGCAGUGGAGGUCCAAGAAUUUCUGCGCGUGGAUGGAGGCAAAUCGGGCACACCGGACCGCAGCUUUGCUGUGGAUGAUGAUGUGUGCGCCAUUACUAAGCUGGUUGGAACAGUACCCCCGAUGUGAGAUCCAGUAAAGUAAGAAAGGGAAAGGGUUUCGGAUAAGCCGUUGAUCGACGAGCAACCGAAAAGUAGCCGGGUAGGAGGCGGUGGCGGUGGCAGCGGGAAUCGAUGUUUUUUUUUUGACAAAUUUGACUUUGGACAAAGUUGUAAUUUCGCAUGAUCUGACUUAAGUAAUGUGAUGACUUUCGGUCACUGACGUGUGGCCAGCUUGUGAAAGGGCCCACAUGUUAGUGACGGCUAAGUCAACUGACUUGAGUUAGAGUAAUUUAGUCACAAUCGGUAUGGUACUUGCCGUCAAUGAUGGUGCCUUUGGUGGUCGUGGAACAAGCUUAGAUCAUCUUCAAGGGUAGACCAAUAUUUUGGCUAUGGUAACCAAAAACAAUCACGCUUUUACAUCGUAUAUAAAAAUUGGGUACCUAAAUUCCAGGUUCUAUUUUCACCAUAUGUAUUUUUUGCAUAUGCAAUGUUCUGAAUAAUAUGAAAUUGAUGACAAAUAAAUCCCACACAAAUGGUACUAGUACUUUGUUACAUAUUUCUUCAAUCCAUAACCUGAAAUUCAGCACAAAAUUGUUCAUAAACCCUAAUGUGCAUUAGUCUAUUAGGGCUAUCUAGCCUCCUCCUACGAGUCACCUCAUGGACGACAACGGAACGGUUGUUUCAGCUGCUUGUUCUUCUCCAUGUCACUCAACAUGAUCAUGGCAAUGUCCUCAUCUUCAUCGCAGUGAUAUUCCUCCUGGAAGUAGGGAUCAUCAUAAGACACUGAAUCACGCCAUCUCGUCUACACAAUAGAACAAACUCCACUAUGAAUAGUCCUAGCUCGCAACAAAUAGCUAGAUCGACUCACAAGCGAUGCUUUAUUUAAAGACAUAUUACUAGGCUUUUCUCAUGUAAUCAUUUCACCAAGAUACCAAAGUAUAUCAAAGCCAAAUUUAUUUAACAAAUAUUUGGCUCUAAUUACAGAGCACAUGGUAACAUAGAGCAUGUAAUAUCAAAGUGUACCCCUCUUCCGAGGCAUUUCCAUGUCAUGAAAGAACAAUUCAUUAACACAAAGUAAUUACCAAUGCAUGAUAUAAGCGGUUUCUUGCAAUUUUAGUGUAUUUGGAACAUAGAGAGGGAGGAAAUAAGUGUCAUGUCUCAUAAUAAUUACAAGCAGUAGCGACAAAGUUAAAACUAUAAUUUUUAUUAGCAUCAUCAUGAGCACAAACGAAUCGCAAACCACCAAUAUAAGAAACAAGAUAAGACCAUCAAUUGUGGAUGCAAGAUUAGCUAUUGUAUUUUUGGCAUAUAUAACAAUAGUAAAUUCCUGUCCAUAUAAUUCUUCUAUAUGGUCAUAAUGGCCUUCAUUAUAGUAAGUAUCAAAGUCAUCAACAAGGGACUUUUUAUCUAAGCAUACAGGAUAACCAACAAUAGAUUGAGGUAAAGAGUUAGUCUUAUUAGAAGAUUGACACGGGUAGCUAAUCCACUCUCCCCAUUUUGUUCAUCACUCUCCUCGUCUUCUUUCUCAUCUAAUGAGCAUUUCUUUUUAGCAGUUUCCUGUUCCAUAACCUCACUUGUUGUUCCUACCAAACAUAAGCCUCUUCUCCGGCACCGGCGACUCUCUCACUUUGUUCAAUAAUUCAUGAAUAGUAUCUAAAAAAUUAAACAAUGUCCAAGGAUCUUAUAUUUCAAAGAUUUAAUAGCACAAGCAACAUCAUUUGUUUCAACUUUAUCAACCACAGAAGCAAUUUCAUAUGUGGCCUUAAAGUGAAGAAAAAUGUUCAACUUUCUCUAUCUCAUAAAAAUUAUACUCAUACUUAACAUAAGAAGCUAGUGUAUCAUUGACAUAAUACUCACACUGGAAUAGAAAGUGUUUACAACCUUUCCUAGAGCAACAAGCUAUUUGAUAUAUAGAUUUCACACAAAUCACCAACCAAGCCAUUCAAUUCUUUUAGCAUACCCUUCAAGUGUUUCCCUUUCUGAGAAGAACGGUGUUUCGGAAACAAAAUCAUGCUUUCCCUAUGUAUUUUCCCAUACUAAGCCAGGUUGGAUAUUAGCACACGCACAAAUGGAUGGAAGAUAAUCCAGGUAUUAGCUUCUUCAGUGGCGAGGAUUUUAGGAGGUUCCUCAACUCUUUUCUUAGUAAGUAGAACAACUUUAUUUACGUUUCCUACAUAUAGUGAAAGGUAGAAAACAUAUGAAAAACCAUAAAUCUAUUUAUUUGUAAAGCAAAUAAAUGCACCCGAGAAUGUUCACCCUAGCGGCAUAUUCCCCAACAGUGUUGCCAUCAAAAAACCUGAUAAUCCCCAAAUGCAAGGAAUUGUUGUACCAUUUUUCAAUACGGAGGAGGAAGUAUGAAGUGUCGAUAUCACAAGGGAGCGAAAGGUGGGAAUAUAUUUCUCUCAUGCUCUACCUGCCCACCAAUACACCCCUAUGUACACUAAUGUUUUCUUUACAUAGACUCUCAGACUAAAGAUAGUUUGUAGGUAUAAAGUGGUGAAGAGCAAGAUUAUUGAGUAUUACUAGAUAAAAGUUAGUUGUAAUAUAAAGUUGCAAUAAAGUAAAAGGAAGCAGCUAUGAAGUAGUGGUUGUAGGUGCUGCGGAAUUGUCCCUAACUAAUUGGCUACAAUACAAGACCGAUAAUCAUGCAUUGUAGUUUUAUAUGUGGGAGAUGUUUGUGCUAACAUGCAGCAAAAUGCAUUAGCUAAUAUGUUCUUUUGAUUGAAAACAUUACCAAGCAUGCACAAAUACUUUGGAUUUAAGGUAAAAUACAACCAUGGUAUUAAUAGCCAUGGGUUCUCUUUACCCCAUAUGCUUUGACUUCUACACUCUGGCACUGUAAUAUCUGUCACUCCUGUCACCCUACGCAUAUUCACCACAAGAUAUUACUAAACCUAAAGUGUGAUAUAGCAUACAACACCAUAUCAUAACAUACAACUCAAAUCAAUCAUAAUAGAUCACCAAAGCCACAAGACAAAAGAAAUGUACCCAUACAUAAUGAAAGUGCAAUAAAUCUUUGGAUACAAAUUCUUCACAUAAAACACCAUGUUUAACAAGGGGAUCACAUACUUUUGUAGAUAAGUAUACCACUGUUGAGCGGGAGGUGACGACGAUGGAGAUGGUGGUUGUCGAUGUAGACAGUGGUGGUGAUAACGGUUCCCGACGUCUUUACCGUGCCGCCGAUAGAGAUUAGAAUAGAUAUCUCUUCUUCUUCCUUGGCCUUCUACCUAGGUGGGAUAAGCUUGCCCCUCUAGUUUUGGUGUCCAUCAUGCCCGCCAGAGGGCGAGAGUCCCCUUGGAGAAAGGAUCUAUCCUUGGGAAGUAGUGUUCCAGAUGCUAAAAUAUGAGUGUUGUCACCGUUUUUUUAUUUCGGAGAUCCAUAAAUCCGAAAAAUUCAAAACAGAUCAAUUCAGAAACUUCGGUGACAAGUUUGCGGCAAAAGGAUGUCAUUAGGGGAGCUCCCUACCUCCAAUGCUGUAGGGGCUCAUCGACAAGUCCUGGGCUGUGGGAGGAGGCUGUGUGGAGGCUUGGGGAGUCCCUUCCAGGUGGCCUUCUGGCCCAUGGGGCCCUCUGGUACAAAAAAGCAUCCUCAUAAUUUUUUCUAUCACUAGAAAUACAUUUUUUCUGUUGUAUAAAAACACUAGAAAACAACAACUGACACUUGAAACUGAAUUAAUAUGUUAGUCCACUAAACAUAAUAUAAAAAGGUGCCCAAAGUAUGUUUAUAUGGUAUAUGUAUAGCAUGAACAUAACAAAAGUUAUAGAUAUGUUUGAAACAUAUCAUCGGGAGCAUAAGAAAAGCUUGUCAAAACAUGCCCAUGUUGGAUCUAGUUUGAAAACCAAGCAGACAUGAAAUUGACAAUAAAAACCAAUUGCAAAUCUUUUAAAUAUUUAGGAUAACAUUUUUUAUUUGUGAAUCAACUUUUAGUCCAAUGUGGUCAGCAUGCUUGUAUUUUCUUUGUGCACUUUGUGUUCUCUCUUAUCUCUUGUUGUGUGCACCUAGCAACUUCCUUUGUUUGCAACCGCUAGCCAUCUCCUAGACUUUGCAUGCAAACUAGAAUGUUCUUGCACAAAAUAGAUUGUGUGGUGGUGCGGAGACUAAUACGCUAGCAUCAACUUGUUAUGUUUUUCAUACAAUUAUUGAUGAUAAACUUUAUAACCAUUGGACAUAAUUAUGCAUGCUAUGGAUAAUAUGAUUUCCAUACCGAGUACAAAGCACAUAUAUUUCGAUGCUUAACUACCGAUUCCCAAUAUCAAUACAUGUAGAUUGACCAAGAAAUAAGCACAAACAUUGGAAGAGAGGAGAGGGAGGAGGUAUUAAAGGAUAAACUACUUAUUGACAUCUAGUACACUCUAGAAUCGUGCAUUUUGUUAUGCCUAAUCCUGAUAUAUACAAUCAAUAGCAACCGAACAAGGUCCAUAGAUAACUACGAAUAUUAUGGAAAGGAUGCAUACAAAACACAAUAUAAUAUAUUAAUGUAUAUAAAAUAUUUUGUGGACUUAUGUGGUAUUAUUGGUAGUCUCGAUUUUAAGGUGAAAACCACUGUAUUUUUUUGAUAGACAAUCCAAGUUAGACAAAAAAGUGAUGUAAAUUGCAAAAUACAUUGUUUCCAUUUAGCAAAAAAAAGAGUAUAUAUUUCUAACACGAGUAUUACAUAUAUAUAAAAUUUUUGUAACUUAAUGUAUGAGUGGCUUCAUUGUUAAUUCUUCUAGUAAUACAUAGCUAAAAUUAAAAUUAUAAAAAGUAUUUCGCUAAAUGUAUCAAUAAGGACCAACAUAUAUUUAUAUGUCACGAAUAGUUAUGAUGAAGUAAAAAAGUUUGGUAUAAAUUAAUGUUGAUGGCGAUUGAUUUUAGCUAGCUCAAGACCUGAAAAAUAGUUAGACCAUCCAUAUUGAUGAAUAUGGUUUGUAUAUUGGAAGUCUAAUGAGUUGAAAUGGUAGAACAGAAAGCAGACAAUAGUCCCCCUUAGGUUGACAUCAUCAGGAAUCUGAUAGAUAUGCUACCUAAUAUUUGAUCUUAGAUAAGUUGAUUUUCAUUAAAUUAAAGUUUGUCAUAUCUCAGCAAGCUCUAACAAAUGAUGUCUCGACUCACAAGCAAAUAAGUACAGAACAGUGGAGCAAUGACCACAAUCCCAGUUGGUUAGUUGUUAAGUACGAUGUCAGGGACAUCCAACUAAAUGACGAGAGCUCCGCACGUCAGAACGAGAUGAGGUUGAGGUAAUCCUAAGCCAGCUCCGCCACCUCAACACAAGAUGGCCUGCAAGUGCACAAAGCUUAGUUGUAGCCUUUUCGAAGUAAGAGUAUCCCCAUAGGGAGCGCAGGAAUCAAACUUUUUUCUCUUGUAGUGAAUUAUGUAUUUUUAUGCCCGCAGAUAAUUGUAAACCUAAAACAAAGUGAGAGCGGAUAUAAAUAAUAAUUGAGUGACAAAGUGAACUUGGAAAUAAAUAAUAUAAAAACUAAAUAAGGAACUAUGGCUAGAGUGACUGACGGAAAUACAGAGGAUUAAGGCGUUCUCACAGAGUCUGGAAUCCCCAUUGGUAUGUGAUGCCCGCAAGCCAAACAGAGUAGUGUAGCACUUUCGCAGAAGUAUACCAAUGAGUAAUCGUCCCAACGAAGAGCGAGGAGAGUAUUUAUAGUAGUGUUACUAUCAGACACAUGGUGUUACAGUUCUUAUGGGAAGUAACUAUUUGAGCUUCUACAAAUAUUGUUACUGCUCUAGUAAACAGAUAAACCAGGGGAACAAGAGUAAUGGUUUUUAAAGUAGCAGCUAUAAGAACUAUUAAAAGUAAAUAACAUAAAUGAGAAUGAAAGUUGUGUUUCCUGCAAUGAAGAGAUUAGGCGCGGAGAGAAUUUAGUUCAUGGUAAGAAUUUAUCAAGUGUGCCAGUGCGACGGUAAUACCAAUUACCUUGUAUUGUAUUCAUAGUAUUUGAUAUUUGUGUUUUGUAGGCGGAUCACCCUAAGGUUAUGAAACUCGUCCUCGUGGGAUUAUUUUCAUUCUAUGGUCCUGCUUCACCGUUGCCACUGAGUGGUCGUUUCCACAAUUAAGGUCCUUGGACCGGAACGAAGCAUUAUGUUUGAUGGAUCACCGUUAUCUCGUAUUGUCUUUGGUCCUUAUAGAUAUGUCCACCUGUCACGAUAGAGGUCACAGACCUCCUAAAUAAUAUAUGUUACCUGUGUAGGUAUUGAGAUCAUGUUGCCUGGGUCCUUAAAUUGAACAACACACACAGAGUUCACCAUAGUAUAACAACUUACUAGACAGAUCAUACUACUACGAAUGCAAAUGGUGACAUAUAGAAUAGGCACAAAUGAAUCUUACCACUCACCUACAUCUCCCACGCCUAUGGGGAAUUACACACUCAUCAUUAUCGGGGAAUCAAUUACAACAGAGAUAAAACCCAUGAACACCAUAUCGAUAAUACCGGGAAGACAGGGUUGAAACCCACAUUCUCCCCCCUCAACCCUAUCGAACAGGUCGGAUGUUGAUGAUCCCGACAUUGUCCGCAGCUGAUGGAAUCGGAUGUGACCCAGAGCCUUUGUCAGGAAUUCCACCUUCUGCUCACCAGUCCUGAUGAACUCGAUGACCACAGUGCCCUUAUUGAUGCAGUCACCUAUGAAGUGAUAGUGGAGAUCAAUGUGCUUGUUGCGACCUUGAAGAAAAUUAUUCUUGAAAAGGGAAAUCGUCGAUUUGUUGUCACGAAUAUGAGCGCAUGGGCGGUGUCUUGCUUCAGCAUCUCGCCGAGGAGGCGAGCCAGUCAUGUCGCCUGACAUGCCACUAUAACUGCCACAAUGUACUCCACCUCGCACGAAGAAGUGACGACAACCUUUUGCCUCACUGAUUCCCUGUUGAUGGGCCCGCUCCUGAGGAAGAACAACAUGCUAUAGAUGCUCUUCCUGGAGUCCACAAUGCCAACGUGGUUGGAGAAGCUGUAGCCGGCUAGCUAGGUUCUCGCCAUUGCGAUGGCCAUAUACACAUCCAUGCGUGAUUGUGUCCGCAAAGUACCGGAGCAGUUACUUGAUAUAGAGCACUAUGUGUUUGCAUGUACAACUAUUGCAACCAAGUGCCUUAAUGAUGCAACGGAAAUAGAGCACUCCACCCUACUGUCACCAAAGCCCUUAUCUAGCCUCACUCGACAUAACUAACCACCACCUACCCUAAUUUCGAAGGUCCAAUCAACCCCAACAUAACAAAUAUCCUCAAAGCUGCAUAGAUAAAUUGCCUCCCUAAACCCUGUCCCAUGGGACACAUCUCGUUUAUUCGGACCCAUUUGUUCUUCUCUCAGCAACACCUCGUUAUAAUCUGCUAUACACAUCCAUGGCAGGGUGGACUCACUACGGAGUCUAAUAAUCGUAUCCCAGGUUUGUUGCCUCAAGCUCCGAUUGGCCUCACGAUAGACGCAGGUUAGUCUCCAUUCAUCUUACCCUACAACUGAGGUAACCGUGUUAAUAUGAUCAUUUUUUCUAAGGCUCAGUCGACUGAGACUUUGAUAAGUCUCAGUCGAUACUAUAUCCGUGAGAUCUUACACAGAGAUUCAUGUAAAAUAUUCUUUUUAGUUUUUUUUCCUUCUUUCUUGCAUGUUAUGCCACUUGACUGAGACUUGGUUAAAUCUCAGCCGACUGAGACCUAGCCACACCCUAAUAUUAUAUUUGGAAAAGUUUUUGACUCGCAAAUUUACAUUGUCCCCCCAGAAAACUGCUAGUCCACCACUACUGCAAGUCCACCAUCGAAACCUAACAACAUUGUCAGGCCUUCCAUUCUUUGUCCUUAUAUACUUGUGUUUCCACGAUACAAACCACCGACGGCACAUAUUUUCUGAUGAGCUCCCGGAGCACACUCGUUGUGGGAUCGCCAACCCCGCGACAUUUCCCAAACAAAGUUCUCAUUGAUUUUGGCCGCCUCACUCAUAACAUCAUCAACGUCAGCAUCUCCUUCUCCUCCCCCUUGUCUCCUUCUCUUCAUAAUGGAUGCCUUGCCCGGUGUACCAGCGCCAAGGCUAUCCAUUGCCACCGGUGUAACCCCCUCGAUUUGCAGCACCGUCCCUGCAACCGUACCUGGUUGGCGCGGUCACCGGCGUCCCGGACGGGCACUGCGAGGUCGUAGGAGCUGCUCUUGGCGUAGUACUCCACCGCGUCCUUGUUCUUGCCGUCUGGCUGUUGCCACACGCUGCUGGGCGCGCCCUGGAAGCGUUCCUGCCAAGCAGAGCAGAGACCGAAACUGUUCGGAACAGAGCAAAACAGAGUCGUUCAUGCUGGUAAAAGCAGAGGACCUGCCAUGAGAAAAAUUGGGCGCCGGUUGAUUUGCAGGGAAGAAGAAGUACGACCAUGUCAAUCACUUGUGAGCCAUGGAGGUGGUGCCAAGGUCAGCAACUCAUGGCCGUGGGCUGUGGGCGUAGAUUCGCGAGCAGUGGAGGAGAUCCAACACCCACUGUGCUGUCGUUGCUGUCCACACACGCACGCGCUCCGUAACAAAUGCACUACUAGCUUAGCUUAACUGCUCCAUGUGACGUGGUACUUGUUAGCUACUUCCUCCGUAAACUAAUAUAAAAGCGUUUAGAAUACUAAAAUAAUGAUCUAAACGCUCUUAUAUUAGUUUACAGAGGGAGUAGAUAGCUAGCGGCCAGGCAGUGGAGAUGGAGAAAUUUCUGCGUGUGGAUGGAGGCCAAUUGAGUACACCGCACCACAUGCCCUGCCGUUUGCUAUGGUCUACGGAUGAUGUGCACGCCUUUAACCAGGACGGUUUGAAGAGAUCGAGCGCACUCACGAUGUGAGAUCCGAGAAAGUAAGAAAGUGAAAGGGUUUUGGAUAAGGCGAUGAUUGACGAGAGACAGAAAAGUAAGGGUAGGGAGGCGGUGGCAGCCGGAAUAGAUGUUUUGUUCGGCGAAUUUUACUUAGGACAAAGCCAGAAUUCGCAGUAGUUUGAGACCGGAGACAUUGGCGGAGCCAGCAUGUUAGAGUUGGGUUCGGCUGGACUCAGUAGUUCUAUGCUAAUCUACUAAUAAGUUUACAGAGCGAGUACUAAAUCACUAGACGUAGAGCAUCGACAGCCCGACGUUGCAAGUCUAGCUCCUCAAACAUCCACGGACACCAUCGGGCGUGUCCACAGACAGUGACUAGUCAUGCUUUAAAUUAGUCACUCUGCAUCCACAUCUCUCAUAUUUUAACUCCUAGAUUCAUACAAAGCAUGCAAAAUCUUACGUACUACAUACUAUAUGCUACCCUAGCUACUCUUUUUUGUCGGAGAUGUCCAUGACGAUGGUGCCGGUCGCCGGCUGGACGGGCGGGUAGGAGGACUCCGGCUUAUCCUCCUUCUGUUCGACCUCAUCCAUGUAGGCGAGCAUCUCCGCCUCCUCGGCGGCCUCAUGCACCUCCAUCUCCUACCGGUGACGGCGUCUGGCCUCCGCAGCCGACGCCGACCGGAGGGAAUCAAAGAUGGCCUGCAGAUCCGCGUCGCCAGCAUCCUUCCCAUCCUCCUUCUCCUCCUCCUCCUCUUACUCAUCCUCCUCCUCCUCCUCCACCUCCACUUCCUCCUCCUGCUCCGAAUCCACUGCAUCCGGAGCUAGACACGCGGUGAUUCGGGCUUCUUCGCCUAGCCCAGAUCUGUUCAAGGAGCUCGAGCCGGCGCUCCGGCGUCAGAAAUGGCUCGCUCCUCACCCGGCGGCGUGGGGGCAUGGCUACUAGGCGGACGUGUGGAGUGAAAAGUGGCGGCCGCGGCGGACAGGCGGACGAAAAUGUGGAUGGAUGGUAAGGUUUUGGUGCCUCCGGUCAACUUAAAAUAGUCAGGCUAGGCACUAUGUGGCCCGCAGGAGCUGUGCCACGCGGCGCCACCGGUCCGACGGAGGAGACGAGCUUCUGAUCACCGGGUUUUCGGGCAUUUCCGGCUGGGACUCCGCCGUCAGUUCGACGUGGGGGGCGUGCCCGAGCUGUAUAUAAGGGGUGCCGGUCAGCCUGGGCGUUUAAGGCCCGUUUGAGGGGGCCGUCUGGGUCGAAAAUCGUGACCGUUCAGUGACCGGGCAGCCCGCCUAGACGUAUGAAGCGGGUUUGGGGCGCCCGGCUGUAGAUGCUCUUAGGCUAUCUCUAUUUCGUUUGACCCAAUUGUUUGAUAGAGGCGAACCAUUGAGCAUUUGCAUUGGCAUCGUCACUCACUAGGGAAGUAUGAGGUUAAUUUAGUUACCAUAGUUGCUAGAUUGUACAUUCACAAUUUUCUAUUCGGAAAUAAUUCUCAAUAUAUGCCAUGAAUACACAAGUCCGUGUUGUAUCAAGUGAGUUUCAGUGGUACCGAUUUAGUUUCGAGUGGGUUAGUGAGGUAUCAAGUUGCUAGUACUAUCUCAUCGUUGGGCCCAUAGUUUCGGCAUGGAUACAACCUCUCAGUUGUGUGCAUCGCUUGAUUCAGAGGCCGAGGGCUAUCCUUCUUUUAAAAAAAAAAAGAGACUUAUGCAUGUAUGUGUAUGGGGAGAAGAUGAUGAAGAAGAUGACCAGCGAUGUCCCUCGCAAAACAAAAGACCAAGCAUGUGAGUAUGAGUGUGAUCAGUAUGGGCGUAGAUCCUAUGACUCAAGUCAUGUGACUUUCAGUUACUUGACAUGUGGCCUAGGUUGUUAGAGGACCCAGAUGUCAAUGACUGCUAUGUCACCUCACUUAAUUUAGAGAAUCUGUACAUGAUCGGUAUAGUAUUUGUGGGCAACAUGACGAUUCCUUAAACACUUACUUUUUGUGUGUGUAAAUUUGCUCGUGCAGCCUGGGCCAUAGUUCAAGUAGCUUCAAAUCUAUAUCUCCCACAUAGUGCACAUAACAUGUUCGGCAAUUGGUUGUGAAGUAUUGAUAAACAAUUUUCUACACAUCUAGUUGUGAGGGUGGCUGCCUUAUGUUGGGUUGGGCAUUGUGACUUACUAGAAAUGAUGUUGUUUUUAACAAUAAAUGUAUUUCAUCUCCUGUGCAGGUUAUUUAUGCGUGGACGUGAUGGCUCCGUACUUGGUCUAUCUUGCAGAGGCCGGAGGACAGAGAACUUUUUAUGCUGGCGUCUACACGGCUGGAGCAUACGGCCAGCAGGAUUUUCUCCCAACAUGGAUGACGGUGUAAUCUCCGGUUAGAAUUUGCCCUACCCUAGGCUGGACUAAUUUAUUUUUUGCUGUAAGACGAUAUUUAUUUUUAGGAUUAUUGGACUUGUUGACUGUGUGUAUCGUGCUAUGUAGAGGCCGGAUAUGCUUUCAAUGCGGUUGUAUCACCUCAAUAUAUCAACCGAAUGAAAUGUUCUUUAUCAAAAAAUAAUGUGGGCAAAGGCAGUGGCUUUGGUGGCCACAAAAUAAGCUUAGAGCAUCCCCAACAGCCAAACUAAACAUUCGUUAUCUGAAUCCAUUUUUAGGCAAGGAGAGAAAAUAUUUAGGUAGCCAAAAAGAUUGUGCUUUCACAACAGACCUAAGAACUAGAUACCUAAAUUUCAACUUUUACUUUUACCACACAUAUUUGUGCAUAUGCAUAUUGCUCUAAAUAAUAUCAAAUUCAUGUCAAAUAACUCCCACACAUAUGUGCAGAAGUGGAGAUUGAAGAGAUUUCUGUGUGUAACUAUGUAUGUAUGGAUCCAAGACUCAAGUUGAGCACACCACACAUACGGCCUGCCCCUCUUGAAUGAGUGGAUGAUGUGGUAUGAUCCAAGAAAAAAAGAAGCGGAACGCGUUUGGAUAAGCAGCGGAUGCAUGAUGGCAAUCUGAUGAUUGAUAAGCAAGUUAAAAGUUAGAGGUGGGGACGAUGAAACGGGAGAAAUCCCACCCCCCUACCUUGCUCCCGGGUUAGUCUAGGCAACAUUGUAGCGAUGUUGUACAUCCAUGGUUUAUGUCCGAAGUAAUUCCCGAAAUAGCUCGUGAAUAACUACACAAGUCGUUUUGGACUGAGUUGGUUUUGGGAUCAUCGAAUGAGUUUAGACUUUGUUAAAAAAAUGAAUUGCUCUCGACCAGGCUUGAGAGAUAUCAAUUAUGUUACUAGUGUCAUGUCUCUAAGUUGGGUCCAUAGUGUAAACAUGAUAUAUUAGUUUCUUAUGUCUUACCACCUGGUGAUUUAUGAAUUUGCCACUGUAUUGGCACCAAGGUUAUCACGUGGUAACUUGUUACAAAAUGGUUUGCAACUAACACAUUGCCAUCGGGCAACAAAAGAGCGUGAGAAAAGCUUUUCAAAAUAUGCCCUUGUGGGUCUAGUUAGAAGGCCACACUGAUAUGAAGCCCGCAAUAAAAAUGGAUUGUGAAUGUCAUAAAUGUUUAGGCUCUGAAAAGUUUGUACUCGUGAAUCAACUUUAAAUCCAAUGUUCUCAUCAUGCUUCUGAUUUUCCUUGUGCACUUUGCGAUCUCACUAAUCUCUUGUUGUGUGUAUGUAGAAAUGCAAACUAGAAUGUUCUUGCACGAACUAGAUUUCUCAUGGUGUGGAGACCAAUACACUUACAUCAGAUCGUUAAGUUUUUCGAAAAACUAUUGAACACAACAACAUUAAAAACAUUGAACUCGACAUGCCAUAAACAAUAUGAUUUCAUACCAAGUACAAAGCUCAUAUAUUUCGAUGCCUAACUACUUAUUCCUAAGAUAAAUACAUGCAUAUUUGACAAAGAAACAAGCACCCAUCAAGGGUGAAAGCGAAGGGAGGAGGUAUUCAAUGAUAAACUAUUUAUUGGCAUCACCAUACACUCUAGAAUCGUGUAUUUAGUUAUGCCUAAGCCUUAUAUAUAUGCAAUCAAUGGUAGCCGACAAGUUAAGAUAACUAGCUAUGAAUAUUGUGGAAAUGACACAUACAAACACAACAUAGUAAAUUAAGGUGUAUACAUUAACUUCUGGAGUUAUGUGAUAUUUUUCGUAUUCUUAAUUAAUGGUAAAAACCUCUAUAAUAGUUCUCAUAAACAACCCAAAUUAAACCACAAAUUAAUUAAAAUGCAAAAUGGAUUGCUUUGGCUUAGCACAUAAUGAACAUAUUCAAAUUUAUUUAACUUAAUGUGUAUGAGUGGGAUGUCCUUGUCAAUUUCGCUAGUAUACAUACAAAAAAUACAAUUAUAACAAAAUAUAUCACUAAAUAUAGCAAUAAGGGUCAUAUAUAUUUAUGUGUCACAUAUAGUUAUGAUGAAGUAAAAAAGUUUUGUAUAAAUGUUGGGCAACGGUUCAUUUUAUUUAGCUCACAACCUACUCAAUUUAGUUAACAAAGGAAGGAGAGCAGGGUUGACAGUUACAGAGAAUGACAUUCCUAUUAGGGACUACUAGUAUCUACUCAAUUCAGUUCGUGUCCAAGCACUGCAAAGGGUAUUGAACACUACAAGAAAGAUAAGGAGAGCAGGGAUGAAGGAGAUCGCCAAGGCGGCGAAGGCUGCGGCUGUGAAGAAGUCGGCGAAUGAGGCUCUCACUGAGAAGAAGUCCAAGGAGGCGGAGGUUGCGGCCUUGAGGAAGGCAAGUUGUAGCAUGCCAGUGUCGAGAGGAAGUCCAAGUCGGACCAGGCUGAUGUUGUGCGGAAGGUGAAGAUGAAAGAGGCUCACGCAACAAGGUUGGCCGACUAGAAGCAGGCGAAUGCUGCGAGAAAGGAGCCCACUGCAGAUCAAGGCCAGGAUAGAUUAGGCCGCCGCAUAGAAGAAGGUCAAGGCAGAUCAGGCCACCGCGGCAAGGAAGGCCAAGCCAAGUGAGCAGGUUACCACCGCGGCAAGGAUAGAUUAGUACUCUGUCUCUGUGUCUGUCGCAGCGGUACCAAUCCUCACAGGUACCAUGGCACAAGUCUUAGUCAUCCGUACGAACGCCCAUCUCAUAGCGCUGGAGAACGUCUUCGCUCUGAGUAUCGUUGAGCUGGAGAUGCUGGAUGAUCUGCGGUCGGCUCCCGAAAUGUAUCAGCGCCUCCACACCCUACUACGAUUAAGAAACUGGACAUGUGUGGAACUGCACAUUUUGGAAGGACUUAGCAUGCUCGCUCGUUCUAUCGAAAGCAUCCGUCUCCUUCUUCAAACACUACUGCCCGCCGCGAUGCCAAAUCCCGUGUUACAUGGCAAUGGAAGCAUUCUCCCCACAAUUGCUCAGAUCAAGUAUCAAGGGGGUGAGAUUAAGCGUGCCAAGACCUUAGAUCGGAUAGAGGGAGGGGAAGCUCAUCCACAUCAUCGAAUUCAGCAAUCCAUUUAUGAUUUAUCCAUGCAGCAGUAGGUAGCAAGCUAGGAGAUCGGAAAAAGGUGCGCCCGUUGAUUUGCAGCAAAGAAGAAGAAGAAGAAAGACGGCCAUGUGAAUCACUGGUGGGCGAUGGAGGUGGCACCCAGGCCAGCAACUCAUGGCUGUGGGCGUAUAUUCGCGAGCAAUGGAGCAGAUCCAACACCCACUACGCCGUCGCUGCUGUCCACACACGCACGCGCUCCUUAACAUUUGCACUACUACUGGCUCAACUUAACUGCUCCAUGUGACGUAGUACUGCAUAGCUAUCUAGCAGCCAGGCAAAUUGGGCACACUGCACCUUUGCUAUGGAUGAUGUGUGCGCCAUUAACUAAGUUGGUUCGAAGAGUACUCCCGAUGUGAGAUCCAUGAAAGUAAGAAAGGGAAAGGAUUUUGGACGAGCAACCGAAAACNNNNNNNNNNNNNNNNNNNNNNNNNNNNNNNNNNNNNNNNNNNNNNNNNNNNNNNNNNNNNNNNNNNNNNNNNNNNNNNNNNNNNNNNNNNNNNNNNNNNNNNNNNNNNNNNNNNNNNNNNNNNNNNNNNNNNNNNNNNNNNNNNNNNNNNNNNNNNNNNNNNNNNNNNNNNNNNNNNNNNNNNNNNNNNNNNNNNNNNNNNNNNNNNNNNNNNNNNNNNNNNNNNNNNNNNNNNNNNNNNNNNNNNNNNNNNNNNNNNNNNNNNNNNNNNNNNAAUUUGACUUUGGACAAAGUUGUAAUUUCGCGUGAUCUGACAUAAGUAAUGUGAUGCCUUUCGGUCACUAACGUGUGGCCAGCUUGUGAAAGGGCCCACAUGUUAGUGACGGCUAAGUCAACUGACUUGAGUUACAGUAUUUUAGCCACAGUCGGUGGUAUGGUACUUGUCGUCAAUGGUUGUGGCUUUGGUGGAUGUGGAACAAGCUUAGAUCAUCUCCAAGGGUAGACAAAUAUUUUGGCUAUGGUAACAAAAAACAAUCAUGCUUUUACAUCGUAUAUAAAAAUCGGGUACCUAAAUUCCAGGUUCUAUUUUUACCAUAUGUAUUUUUUGCAUAUGAAAUGUUCUGAAUAAUAUGGAAUUGAUGUGAAAUAUAUCCCACACAAAUGGUACUAGUACUUUGUUACAUAUUUCUUCAAUCCAAAACCUGAAAUUCAGCACAAAAUUGUUCAUAAACCCUAAUGUGCAUUAGUCUAUUAGGGCUGUCUAGCCUCCUCCUACGAAUCACCUCAUGGACGACAACGGAACGGCUUGUUUCAGCUGCUUGUUCUUCUCCAUGUCACUCAACAUGAUCAUGGCAAUGUCCUCAUCUUCAUCGCAGUGAUAUUCCUCCUGGAAGUAGGGAUCAUCAUAAGACACUGAAUCACGCCAUCUCAUCUACACAAUAGAACAACCUCCACUAUGAAUAGUCCUAGCUCGUACCAAAUAGCAAAAACAACUAGGGGGGGGGAUUCAUCAAAAACUUAGCCAGCACCAAGCUCGAUUUCGGUCUGCAGAGCUCGCCAGGGCUGAGGUGAGAGCCAAUGCCUAGGUGAUGGCGGGAACGGAGGGGGCGGGGAGCGGCCAAGAAUUGCGGGGCUGCGACAACGGAGCUUGAUUAUUCUCACGAUUUUAGCAUGCUAUGUUGAUUUUCACCCAGAUAAACAACAACAUAAAAAAUUCACUUUCAGCACAUCAAUGCAUACAGUCGCAUCAUAAUAUGCUAAAGGCAAUUCUUGCACUUUAAAACUAAAGUACAUUGGUAUAUACAAGGGGAUAAUUAUUUUUAUGAGAAACUUCCAUUACAACAUUUACAUUGUUUCCAUGGGCGUGAGCACAAAUAUUCAUGGUCGUCCCCUACUUCUACGAUGCUCGACCUUCCAAUCACUUCUCUUUUAAGAAUUUUUUAGGUUCCUCUAUUUUUAUUUUUUAUUUUUGAAAAUUUGUGUGGUGAAACACCAGAAUAAAAUGACUAUUUGAAACUUCUAGAUCGACUCACAAGCGAUGCUUUAUUUAAAGACAUAUUACUAGGCUUUUCUCAUGUAAUCAUUUCACCAAGAUACCAAAGUAUAUCAAAGCCAAAUUUAUUUAACAAAUAUUUGGCUCUAAUUAGAAAGCACAUGGUAACAUAGAGCAUGUAAUAUCAAAGUGUACCCCUCUUCCGAGGCAUUGCCAUGUCAUGAAAGAACAAUUCAUUAACACAAAGUAAUUACCAAUGCAUGAUAUAAGCGGUUUCUUGCAAUUUUAGUGUACUUGGGACAUAGAGACGAAGGAAAUAAGUGUCCUCUCUCAUAAUAAUUACAAGCAGUAGCGACAAUGUUAAAACUAUAAUUUUUAUUAGCAUCAUCAUGAGCACAAACGAAUCGCAAACCACCAAUAUAAGAAACAAGAUAAUACCAUCAAUUGUGGAUGCAAGAUUAGCUAUUGUAUUUUUGGCAUAUAUAACAAUAGUAAAUUCAUGUCCAUAUAAUUUUUCUAUAUGGUCGUAAUGGCCUUCAUUAUAGUAAGUAUCGAAGUCAUCAACAAGGGACUUUUUAUCUAAUUAGUUGAAAGGAUCAUAUAUUUCAUCCUCUAAGCAUGCAGGGUUACCAACAAUAGAUUGAGGUGAAGAGUUAGUAUUAUUAGAAGAUUGACAUGGGUAGCUAAUCCACUAUCCCCAUUUUGUUCAUCACUCUCCUCGUCUUCUUUCUCAUCUAGUGAGCAUUUCUGUUUAGCAGUUUCCUGUUCCAUAACCUCACUUGUUCUUCCUACCAAACAUAUGUUGGAAAUAUGCCCUAGAGGCAAUAAUAAAUUGAUUAUUAUUAUAUUUCCUUGUUCAUGAUAAUCGUUUAUUAUCCAUGCUAUAAUUGUAUUGAUAGGAAACUCAGAUACAUGUGUGGAUACAUAGACAACACCAUGUCCCUAGUAAGCCUCUAGUUGACUAGCUCGUUGAUCAAUAGAUGGUUACGGUUUCCUGACCAUGGACAUUGGAUGUCGUUGAUAACGGGAUCACAUCAUUAGGAGAAUGAUGUGAUGGACAAGACCCAAUCCUAAGCAUAGCACUAGAUCGUGUAGUUCGUAUGCUAAAGCUUUUCUAAUGUCAAGUAUCAUUUCCUUAGACCAUGAGAUUGUGCAACUCCCGGAUACCGUAGGAAUGCUUUGGGUGUGCCGAACAUCACAACGUAACUGGGUUACUAUAAAGGGGUAUCUCUGAAAGUGUCUGUUGGGUUGGCACGAAUCGAGACUGGGAUUUGUCACUCCGUGUGACGGAGAGGUAUCUCCAGGCCCACUCGGUAGGACAUCAUCAUAAUGUGCACAAUGUGGUCAAGGAGUUGAUCACGGCAUGAUGUGUUACGGAACGAGUAAAGAGACUUUCCGGUAACGAGAUUGAACAAGGUAUCGGGAUACCGACGAUCGAAUCUCGGGCAAGUAUCGUACCGAUAGACAAAGGGAAUUGUAUACGAGAUUGAUUAAGUCCUUGACAUCAUGGUUCAUCCGAUGAGAUCAUCGUGGAACAUGUGGGAGCCAACAUGGGUAUCCAGAUCCCGCUGUUGGUUAUUGACCGGAGAACGUCUCGGUCAUGUCUGCAUGUCUCCCAAACCCGUAGGGUCUACACACUUAAGGUUCGAUGACGCUAGGGUUAUAAAGGAAGUUUGUAUGUGGUUACCAAAUGUUGUUCGGAGUCCCGGAUGAGAUCCCGGACGUCACGAGGAGUUCCGGAAUGGUCCAGAGGUAAAGAUUUAUAUAUGGGAAGUCCUGUUUUGGUCACCGGAAAAGUUUCGGGGUUUAUCGGUAACGUACCGGGACCACCGGGAGGGUCCCGGGGGUCCACCAGUGGGGCCACCAGCCCCAGAGGGCUUCAUGGGCCAAGUGUGGAAGGGGACCAGCCCCAGGUGGGCUGGUGCACCCUCCCACAAGGCCUAAUGCGCAAGGGAAGAGGAGAGGGGGCAAACCCUAGGGCAGAUGGGCCCUAAGGCCCAUCCUGGUGCGCCUCCCUCUCCCCCUCCCCCUUGGCCGCCUCCCUUAGAUGGGAUCUAGGCUGGCCGCCACCCCUAGGGGUGGAAACCCUAAAGGGGGCGCAGCCCCUCCCCUUCCCCUAUAUAUACUUGGCCUAGGGGCUGCCCAAUACACGCGAUCUGAUCUCUCCCUGUUGGUGCAGCCCUCCCUCUCUUUCUCCUCAUAUCCCGCGGUGCUUGGCGAAGCCCUGCAGGAUUGCCACGCUCCUCCACCACCACCAUGCCGUUGUGCUGCUGCUGGAUGGAGUCUUCCUCAACCUCUACCUCUCUCCUUGCUGGAUCAAGGCAUGGGAGACGUCACCGGGCUGUACGUGUGUUGAACGCGGAGGUGCCGUCCGUUCGGCACUAGGAUCUCUGGUGAUUUGGAUCACGACGAGUACGACUCCAUCAACCCCGUUCUCUUGAACGCUUCCGCUUAGCGAUCUACAAGGGUAUGUAGAUGCACUCUCAUUCCCCUCGUUGCUAGUCUCUCCAUAGAUAGAUCUUGGUGACACGUAAGAAAAUUUUGAAUUUCUGCUACGUUCCCCAACAGUGGCAUCAUGAGCUAGGUCUAUUGCGUAGAUUCUAUGCACGAGUAGAACACAAAGUAGUUGUGGGCGUUGAUUUUGUUCAAUAUGCUUACCGUUACUAGUCCAAUCUUGAUUCGGCGGCAUUGUGGGAUGAAGCGGCCCGGACCGACCUUACACGUACUCUUACGUGAGACUGGUUCCACCGACUGACAUGCACUAGUUGCAUAAGGUGGCUAGCGGGUGUCUGUCUCUCCCACUUUAGUCGGAUCGGAUUCGAUGAACAGGGUCCUUAUGAAGGGUAAAUAGCAAUUGGCAUAUCACGUUGUAGUUUUGCGUAGGUAAGAAACGUUCUUGCUAGAAACCCAUAGCAGCCACGUAAAACAUGCAAACAACAAUUAGAGGACGUCUAACUUGUUUUUGUAGGGUAUGCUAUAUGAUGUGAUAUGGCCAAAGGAUGUGAUGAAUGAUAUAUGUGAUGUAUGAGAUGAUCAUGUUCUUGUAAUAGGAAUCACGACUUGCAUGUCGAUGAGUAUGACAACCGGCAGGAGCCAUAGGAGUUGUCUUUAUUUAUUUAUGACCUGCGUGUCAACUUAAACGUCAUGUAAUUACUUUACUUUAUUGCUAACCAUUAGCUGUAGAAGUAGAAGUAAUAGUUGGCAAGACAACUUCAUGAAGACACGAUGAUGGAGAUCAUGGUGUCAUGCCGGUGAUGAUGAUGAUCAUGGAGCCCCGAAGAUGGAGAUCAAAAGGAGCAAUAUGAUAUUGGCCAUAUCAUGUCACCAUUUGAUUGCAUGUGAUGUUUAUCAUGUUUAUACAUCUUAUUUGCUUAGAACGACUGUAGUAAAUAAGAUGAUCCCUCAUUAAAAUUUCAAGAAAGUGUUCCCCCUAACUGUGCACCGUUGCGACAGUUCAUUCGUUUCUAAGCACCACGUGAUGAUCGGGUGUGAUACAUUCCAACGUUCACAUACAACGGGUGUAAGACAGAUUUACACAUGCAAACACUUAGGUUGACUUGACGAGCCUAGCAUGUACAGACAUGGCCUCGGAACACAGAAGACCGAAAGGUCGAGCAUGAGUCGUAUAGAAGAUACGAUCAACAUGAAGAUGUUCACCGAUGUUGACUAGUCCGUCUCACGUGACGAUCGGACACGGCCUAGUUGACUCGGAUCAUGUAAUCACUUAGAUGACUGGAGGGAUGUCUAUCUGAGUGGGAGUUCAUAAGAUGAACUUGUUUAUCCUGAACAUAGUCAAAAGGAUUUUGCAAAUUAUGUCGUCGCUCGCGCUUUAGUUCUACUGUUUAGAUAUGUUCCUAGAGAAAGUUUAGUUGAAAGUUGAUAGUAGCUAUUAUGCGGACUAGGUCCAUAAACUAAGGAUUGUCCUCAUUGCUUCAUAGAAGGCUUAUGUCCUUAAUGCACUGCUCAGUGUGCUGAAAUGUCGUAUGUGGAUGUUGCGAACAUCUGACAUACACAUUUUGAUAACUACGUGAUAGUUCAGUUAAGCGGUUUAGAGUUGAGGCACCGAAGACGUCUUGAAACAUCGCAAAACAUAUGAGAUGUUUCGAGGACUGAAAUUGGGAUUUCAGGCUCGUGCUCACGUCAAGAGGUAUAAGACCUCCGACGAUUUUCUUAGCCUGCAGACUAAGGGAGAAAAGCUCAAUUGUUGAGCUUGUGCUUAGAUUGUCUGAGUACAACAAUCAUUUGAAUCGAGUGGGAGUUGAUCUUCCAGAUGAGAUAGUGAUGUUUCUCUGAAGUCAUUGCCACCAAGCUGCUAGAGCUUCGUGAUGAACUAUAAUAUAUCAGGGACAUAUAUGAUGAUCCUUGAGAUAUUCGCGAUGUUUGACACCACAAAAGUAGAAAUCAAGAAGGAGCAUCAAUUGUUGAUGGUUGGUGAAACCACUAGUUUCAAGAAGGGCAAGGGCAAGAAGGGAUACUUCAUGAAACGGCAAUUCAGCUGCUGCUCUAGUGAAGAAACCCAAGGUUGAACCCAAACCCGAGACUAAGUGCUUUUGUAAUAAGGGGAACAGCCACUGGAGUAGAAUUACCCUAGAUACUUGGUAGAUAAGAAGGCUGGCAAGGUCGAUAGAAGUAUAUUGGAUAUACAUUGUGUUGAUGUGUACUUUACUAGUACUCCGAGUAGCACCAGGGUAUUAGAUACCGGUUCGGUUGCUAAGUGUUAGUAACUCGAAAUAAAAGCUACGAAAUAAACGGAGACUAGCUAAAGGUGAGCUGACGAUAUGUGUUGGAAGUGUUUCCAAUUUUGAUAUGAUCAAGCAUCGCACGCUCCCUCUACCAUCGAGAUUGGUGUUUGCGUUGAGCAUAGACAUGAUUGGAUUAUGUCUAUCGCGAUACGGUUAUUCAUUUAAGGAGAAUAAUGGUUACUCUGUUUAUUUGAAUAAUACCUUCAAUGGUCUUCCACCUAAAAUGAAUGGUUUAUUGAAUCUCGAUUGUAGUGAUACACAUGUUCAUACCAAAAGAUAUAAGAUAGUAAUGAUAGUACCACCUACUUGUGGCACUGCCACGUAAGUCAUAUCGGUAUAAAACGCAUGAAGAAGCUCCAUGUUGAUGGAUCUUUUGGGCUCACUCGUUUUGAAAAGUUUGAGACAUGCGAACCAUGUCUAUUGGUAUAUACGCAUGAAGAAACUCCAUGCAGAUGGACCGUUUGUACUCACUUGAUUUUGAAUCGCUUGAGACAUGCAAAUCAUACCACAUGGGCAAGAUGACUAAAGCUUCGGUUUCAGUAAAAUGGAACUAGAAAGCAACUUGUUAGAAGUAAUACAUUUUGAUGUGUGCAGUCCAAUGAGUGCUGAGGCGUAUAGUGGAUAUCAUUAUGUUCUUACUUCAUAGAUGAUUUGAGUAGAUGUUGAGUAUAUUUACUUGAUGAAUCACGAGUCUGAAUUAUUGAAAGGUUCAAGUAAUUUCAGGGUGAAGUUGAAAGAUCGUCGUGACAAGAGGAUAAAAAAUCUAUGAUAUGAUCAUAGAGAUGAAUAUCUGAAUUACGAGUUUGGCACAGAAUUAAGACAUUGUGGAAAUUGUUUCACAACUAAUAUAGCCUGGAACACCAUAGUGUGAUGGUGUGUCCGAACAUCAUAACUGCACCCUAUUGGAUAUGAUGCAUACCAUGAUGUCUCUUAUCGAAUUACCGCAAUAGUUUAUGGGUUAGGCAUUAGAGACAACCACAUUCACUUUAAAUAGGGCAGCACGUAAUUCCGAUGAGAUGACACCGUAUGAACUAUGGUUUAGAGAAACCUAAGCUGUCAUUUCUUAAAAGUUUGGGGCUGCGACGCUUAUGUGAAAAAGUUUCAGGCUAAUAAGCUCGAACCCAAAGCGGAUAAAUGCAUCUUCAUAGGACACCCAAAAUAGUUGGGUAUACCUCCUGUAUCAGAUUCGAAUGCAAUAAGGGAUUGUUUCUAGAAUCGGGUCCUUUCUCGAGGAAAAGUUUCUCUCGAAAGAAUUGAGUGGGAGGAUGGUGGAGACUUGAUAAGGUUAUUGAACCGUCUCUUCAACUAGUGUGUGGCAGGGCAUAGGAAGUUGUUCCUGUGGCACCUACACCAAUUGAAGUGGAAGUUUAUGAUAAUGAUCAUGAAACUUCAUAUCAAGUCACUACCAAACCUCGUAGGAUGACAAGGAUGCGUACUACUUCAGAGUGGUACGUAAUCUUGUCUUGAAAGCCAUUUUGCUAGACAACAAUGAACCUACGAGCUGUGGAGAAGCGAUGGUGGGCCCGAAUUCCGAUAAAUGGCUCGAGGCCAUAUAAUCCGAGAGAGGAUCCAUAUAUGAAAACAAAGUAUAGACUUUGGAAGAACUACUUGAUGGUCGUAAGGCUGUUAGGUACAUAUGGAUUUUAAAAGGAAGACGAACAAUGAUGGUAAGUAUCACCAUUAAGAAAGCUCGACUUGUCGUUAAGAUGUUUUUCGACAAGUUCAAGGAGUUGACUAUGAUGAGACUUUCUCACUCAUAGUGAUGCUAAGAGUCUGUUGAAAUUAUAUUAGCGAUUACUGCAUUAUUUAUGAAAUCUUGCAGAUAGGAUAUCAAAACAUUGUUUCCUCGACGUUUUUCUUGAGGAAAGGUUGUAUGUGAUACAACCAGAAGGUUUUGUCAAUCCUGAAAGAUGCUAAUAAGUAUGCAAAGCUCCAGCAAUCCUUCUGAGGACUGGAGUAAGCAUCUCAGAGUUGGAAUGUAUGCUUUGAUGAGAUGAUCAAAGAUUUUGGUGUAUACAAAGUUUAUGAGAAACUUGUAUUUCCAAAGAAGUGAGUGGGAGCACUAUAGAAUUUCUGAUGAAUAUAUGUUGUCGACAUAUCAUAGAUCGGAAAUGACAUAGAAUUUCUGGAAAGCAUAUAGGGUUAUUUGGAAAGUGUUUUUCAAUGGAAAGCCUGGAUUAAGCUGCUUGAACAUUGAACAUCAAGAUCUAUAAGGAUAGAUCAAAACGCUUAAUGGUACUUUCAAAUGAGCACAUACCUUGACAAGAUUUUGAAGGAGUUCAAAAUGGGUCGGCAAAGAAGGAGUUCUUGGCUGUGUUAUAAGGUGUGAACAUUGAGUAAGACUCGAAACCUGACCGCGGCAGAAUAGAGAGAAAGGACGAAGGUCGUCCCCUAUGCUUAAGAUAUAGGCUCUACAGUAUGCUAUGCUGUGUACCGCACCUGAAGUGUGCCUUGCGAUGAGUCAGUCAAGGGGUACAAGAGUGAUCCAAGAAUGGAUCACAGGACAGCGGUCAAAGUUAUCCUUAGUAACUAGUGGACUAAGGAAUUUUCUCGAUUAUGGAGGUGGUAAAAGAGUUCGUCGUAAAGGGUUACGCCGAUGCAAACUCUGACACUAAUCCAGAUUAUUCUGAGUAGUAAACUGGAUUCGUAUAGUAGAACAGUUAUUUGGAAUAGCUCCAAAUAGAGCGUAGUAGCUGCAUCUAGGAGAUGACAUAGAGAUUUGUAAAGCACACACGGAUCUGAAAGGUUCAGACCCGUUGACUAAAAUCUCUCUCACAAGCAACAUGAUCAAACCCAGAACUCAUUGAGUGCUAAUCACAUAGUGAUGUGAACUAGAUUAUUGACUCUAGUAAACUCUUUGGAUGUUGGUUACAUGGCGAUGUGAUCUGUGAGUGUUAAUCACAUGGCGAUGUGAACUAGAUUAUUGACUCUAGUGCAAGUGGGAGAUUGUUGGAAAUAUGCCCUAAAGGCAAUAAUAAAUUGAUUAUUAUUAUAUUUCCUUGUUCAUGAUAAUCGUUUAUUAUCCAUGCUAUAAUUGUAUUGAUAGGAAACUCAGAUACAUGUGUGGAUACAUAGACAACACCAUGUCCCUAGUAAGCCUCUAGUUGACUAGCUCGUUGAUCAAUAGAUGGUUACGGUUUCAUGACCAUGGACAUUGGAUGUCGUUGAUAACGGGAUCACAUCAUUAGGAGAAUGAUGUGAUGGACAAGACCCAAUCCUAAGCAUAGCACCAGAUCGUGUAGUUCGUAUGCUAAAGCUUUCUAAUGUCAAGUAUCAUUUCCUUAGACCAUGCGAUUGUGCAACUCCCGGAUACCGUAGGAAUGCUUUGGGUGUGCCAAACGUCACAACGUAACUGGGUGACUAUAAAGGUGCACUACGGGUAUCUCUGAAAGUGUCUGUUGGGUUGGCACGAAUCGAGACUGGGAUUUGUCACUCCGUGUGAUGGAGAGGUAUCUCUGGGCCCACUCGGUAGGACAUCAUCAUAAUGUGCACAAUGUGGUCAAGGAGUUGAUCACGGGAUGAUGUGUUACAGAACGAGUAAAGAGACUUACCGGUAACGAGAUUGAACAAGGUAUCGGGAUACCGACGAUCGAAUCUCGGGCAAGUAUCGUACCGAUAGGCAAAGGGAAUUGUAUACGGGAUCGAUUAAGUCCUUGACAUCGUGGUUCAUCCGAUGAGAUCAUCGUGGAACAUGUGGGAGCCAACAUGGGUAUCCAGAUCCCGCUGUUGGUUAUUGACUGGAGAACGUCUCGGUCAUGUCUGCAUGUCUCCCGAACCCGUAGGGUCUACACACUUAAGGUUCGAUGACGCUAGGGUUAUAAAGGAAGUUUGUAUGUGGUUACCAAAUGUUGUUCGGAGUCCCGGAUGAGAUCCCAGACGUCACGAGGAGUUCCGGAAUGGUCCGGAGGUAAAGAUUUAUAUAUGGGAAGUCCUGUUUUGGUCACCGGAAAAGUUUCGGGGUUUAUCGGUAACGUACCAGGACCACCGGGAGGGUCCCGGGGGUCCACCAAGUGGGGCCACCAGCCCCAGAGGGCUUCAUGGGCCAAGUGUGGAAGGGGACCAGCCCCAGGUGGGCUGGUUCACCCUCCCACAAGGCCCAAUGUGCAAGGGAAGAGGAGAGGGGGCAAACACUAGGGCUGAUGGGCCCUAAGGCCCAUCCUGGUGCGCCUCCCUCUCCCCCUCCCCCUUGGCCGCCUCCCUUAGAUGGGAUCUAGGCUGGCCGCCACCCCUAGGGGUGGAAACCCUAAAGGGGGCGCAGCCCCUCCCCUUCCCUUAUAUAUACUUGGCCUAGGGGCUGCCCAAUACACGCGAUCUGAUCUCUCCCUGUUGGUGCAGCCCUCCCUCUCUUUCUCCUCAUAUCCCGCGGUGCUUGGCGAAGCCCUGCAGGAUUGCCACGCUCCUCCACCACCACCACACCGUUGUGCUGCUGCUGGAUGGAGUCUUCCUCAACCUCUCCCUCUCUCCUUGCUGGAUCAAGGCAUGGGAGACGUCACCGGGCUGUACGUGUGUUGAACGCGGAGGUGCCGUCCGUUCGGCACUAGGAUCUCCGGUGAUUUGGAUCACGACGAGUAUGACUCCAUCAACCCCGUUCUCUUGAACGCUUCCGCUUAGCGAUCUACAAGGGUAUGUAGAUGCUGUUGGAAAUAUGCCCUAGAGGCAAUAAUAAAAGCAUUAUUAUUAUAUUUCUUUGUUCAUGGUAAUUGUCUUUAUUCAUGCUAUAAUUGUGUUAUCCGGAAAUCGUAAUACAUGUGUGAAUAACAGACACCAACAUGUCCCUAGUAAGCCUCUAGUUGACUAGCUCGUUGAUCAACAGAUAGUCAUGGUUUCCUGACUAUGGACAUAAGAUGUCAUUGAUAACGAGAUCACAUCAUUAGGAGAAUGAUGUGAUGGACAAGACCCAAUCCUAAACAUAGCAUAAAGAUCGUGUAGUUCGUUUUGCUAGAGUUUUGCAAUGUCAAGUAUCUUUUCCUUAGACCAUGAGAUCGUGUAACUCCCGGAUACUGUAGGAGUACUUUGGGUAUACCAAACGUCACAACGUAACUGGGUGAUUAUAAAGGUAGACUACGGGUAUCUCUGAAAGUAUCUGUUGGGUUGACACGGAUCAAGACUGGGAUUUGUCACUCCGUAUAACGGAGAGGUAUCACUGGGCCCACUCGGUAAUGCAUCAUCAUAAUGAGCUCAAAGUGACCAAGUGUCUGGUCAUGGGAUCAUGCAUUACGGUACGAGUAAAGUGACUUGCCGGUAACGGGAUUGAACGAGGUAUUGGGAUACCGACGAUCGAAUCUCGGGCAAGUAAUAUAUCGAUAGACAAAGGGAAUUGCAUACGGGGUUGAUUGAAUCCUCGACAUCGUGGUUCAUCCGAUGAGAACAUCGUGGAGCAUGUGGGAGCCAACAUGGGUAUCCAGAUCCCGCUGUUGGUUAUUGACUGGGAUCGUCUCGGUCAUGUCUACAUGUCUCCCGAACCCGUAGGGUCUACACACUUAAGGUUCGGUGACGCUAGGGUUGUGAAGAUAAGUAGAUGCAGUAACCCGAAUGUUGUUCGGGGUCCCGGAUGAGAUCCCGGACGUCACGAGGAGUUCCGGAAUGGUCCAGAGGUAAAGAAUUAUAUAUAGGAUGUGCAGUUUCGGCCAUCGGGACAAGUUUCGGGGUACCCGGUAUUGUACCGGGACCACCGGAAGGGUCCCGGGGGUCCACCGGGUGGGGCCACCUAUCCCAGAGGGCCCCUUGGGCUGAAAUAGGUGGGAACCCAGCCCAUAGUGGGCUGGGGCGCCAUCCCCCCCAAGGCCCAUGCGCCUAGGGUUGGGGGGGAACCCUAAAGGGGGGGGCCACCCCUUGCUUGGGGGGCAAGCCCCCCACCCCUUGGCCGCCGCCCCCCCUGGUAGAUCCCAUCUACCAGGGCCGGCGCCCCCCCUGGCACCCCUAUAUAUAUGUGGGGAGAGGAGGGACUUGCUGCCCACGCAUUUGGUGCUUCCCUCUCUCCCUGUUACACCUAUCUCCCUCGUAGUACACGGCGAAGCCCUGCUGUCGUGACGCCCUGCAUCCACCACCACGCCGUCGUGCUGCUGGAUCUUCAUCAACCUCUCCUUCCCCCUUGCUGGAUCAAGAAGGAAGAGACGUCUCCCGUCCCGUACGUGUGUUGAACGCGGAGGUGCCGUCCGUUCGGCGCUGGUCAUCGGUGAUUUGGAUCACGACGUGUUCGACAACAUCAACCACGUUCUAACGAACGCUUCCGCUCGCGAUCUACAAAGGUAUGUAGAUGCAUCUCGUGACUCGUUGCUAGAUGAACUCCUAGAUGAUCUUGGUGAAACGAGUAGGAAAUUUUUUUGUUUUCUGCAACGUUCCCCAACAGUGGCAUCAUGAGCUAGGUCUAUGCGUAGUUCUUUUGCGCGAGUAGAACACAAUUCGUUGUGGGCGUGGAUUUGUCAACUUUCUUGCCGCUACUAGUCUUUUCUUGCUUCAGCGGCAUUGUGGGAUGAAGCGGCCCGGACCAACCUUACACGUACGCUUACGUGAGACCGGUUCCACCGACUAACAUGCACUAGUUGCAUAAGGUGGCUGGCGGGUGUCUGUCUCUCCCACUUUAGCUGGAGCGGAUUCGAUGAACAGGGUCCUUAUGAAGGGUAAAUAGAAGUUGACAAAUCACGUUGUGGCUUUCACAUAGGUAAGAAAACGUUCUUGCUAGAACCCUAAUUCAGCCACGUAAAACUUGCAACAACAAUUAGAGGACGUCUAACUUGUUUUUGCAGCAAGUGGUUUGUGAUAUGAUAUGGCCAAAGUUGUGAUGAAUGAUGAAUGAUCUAUAUGUGAUGUAUGAGAUGUUCAUGCUAUUGUAAUAGGAAUCACGACUUGCAUGUCGAUGAGUAUGACAACCGGCAGGAGCCAUAGGAGUUGUCUUUAUUCUUUUAUAUGACCUGCGUGUCAUUGAGAAACGUCAUGUAAAUUACUUUACUUUAUUGCUAAACGCGUUAGCCAUAGUAGUAGAAGUAAUAAUUGGCGAGCAACUUCAUGGAGACACGAUGAUGAUGAUGGAGAUCAUGGUGUCAAGCCGGUGACAAGAUGAUCAUGGAGCCCCAAGAUGGAGAUCAAAGGAGCUAUGUGAUAAUGGCCAUAUCAUGUCACGUUUAUUAUUUGAUUGCAUGUGAUGUUUAUCAUGUUUUGCAUCUUGUUUACUUAGAACGGCGGUAGUAAAUAAGAUGAUCCCUCAUAACAAUUUCAAGAAGUGUUCUCCCCUAACUGUGCACCGUUGCUAAAGUUCGUCGUUUUGAAGCACCACGUGAUGAUUGGGUGUGAUAGAUUCUUACGUUCACAUACAACGGGUGUAAGACAGUUUUACACAUGCAAAACACUUAGGGUUAACUUGACGAGCCUAGCAUGUGCAUAGACAUGGCCUCGGAACACAGAAGACCGAAAGGUCGAGCAUGAGUCGUAUAGAAGAUGCGAUCAACAUGGAGAUGUUCACCGACGUUGACUAGUCCAUCUCACGUGAUGAUCGGACACGGCCUAGUUAACUCGGAUCAUGUUAUACUUAGAUGACUAGAAGAGGGAUGUCUAUCUAAGUGGGAGUUCAUAAAUAAUUUGAUUUGAUGAACUUAAUUAUCAUGAACUUAGUCUAAAAUAUUUACAAUAUGUCUUGUAGAUCAAAUGGCCAACGUAGUCCUCAACUUCAACGCGUUCCUAGAGAAAACCAAGCUGAAAGACGAUGGCAGCAACUACACGGACUGGGUCCGGAACCUGAGGAUCAUCCUCAUAGCUGCCAAGAAAGAUUAUGUCCUACAAGCACUGCUGGGUGACGCACCUAUCCUCCCUGCCGAACAAGACGUUAUGAACGCUUGGCAGGCAUGAUCCGAUGACUACUCCCUCGUUCAGUGCGGCAUGCUUUACAGUUUAGAACCGGGGCUCCAAAAGCGUUUUGAGAGGCAUGGAGCAUAUGAGAUGUUCGAAGAGCUGAUAAUGGUUUUCCAAGCUCAUGCCCGGGUCGAGAGAUAUGAGGUCUCCGACAAGUUCUUCAGCUGUAAGAUGGAGGAAAAUAGUUCUGUCAGUGAGCACAUACUCACGAUGUCUGGAUUACAUAACCGCUUGACUCAGCUGGGAGUUAAUCUCCCGGAUGAUGCGGUCAUUGACAGAAUCCUCCAGUCGCUUCCACCGAGCUACAAGAGCUUUGUGAUGAACUUCAAUAUGCAGGGGAUGGAAAAGACCAUUCCUGAAGUAUUUGCUAUGCUGAAAUCAGCAGAGGUAGAAGUCAAGAAGGAACAUCAGGUGUUGAUGGUCAAUAAAACCACUAAGUUCAAGAAGGGCAAGGGUAAGAAAGCCUUCAAGAAGGACGGCAAGGAAGUUGCCGCGCCCGGCAAGCAAGCUGCCGGGAAGAAGCCAAAGAAUGGACCCAAGCCCGAGAUUGAGUGCUUUUAUUGCAAGGGGAGCGGACACUGGAAGCGGAAUUGCCCCAAGUACUUAGCAGACAAGAAGGCCGGCAAAACAAAAGGUAUAUGUGAUAUACAUGUAAUUGAUGUGUACCUUACCAGUAAUCGUAGUAGCUCUUGGGUAUUUGAUACCGGUGCAGUUGCUCACAUUUGUAACUCACAGCAGGAACUACGGAAUAGGCGGAGACUGGCGAAGGACGAGGUGACGAUGCGCGUCGGGAAUGGUUCCAAAGUUGAUGUGAUCGCCGUCGGCACGCUACCUCUUCAUUUACCUACGGGAUUAGUUUUAAACCUCAAUAAUUGUUAUUUAGUACCAGCUUUGAGCAUGAACAUUGUAUUGGGAUCUCGUUUAAUUCGAGAUGGCUACUCAUUUAAAUCCGAGAAUAAUGGUUGUUCUAUUUAUAUGAGAGAUAUGUUUUAUGGUCAUGCUCCUGUGGUGAAUGGUUUAUUCUUAAUGAAUCUCGAGCGUAAUGCUACACAUGUUCAUAGUGUGAAUACCAAAAGAUGUAAGGUUAAUGACGAUAGUCCCACAUACUUGUGGCACUGCCGCCUUGGUCACAUAGGUGUCAAACGCAUGAAGAAGCUCCAUGCAGAUGGACUUUUAGAGUCUCUUGAUUAUGAAUCAUUUGACACGUGCGAACCAUGCCUCAUGGGUAAAAUGACCAAGACUCCGUUCUCAGGAACAAUGGAGCGAGCAACCAACUUAUUGGAAAUCAUACAUACUGAUGUGUGCGGUCCAAUGAGUGUUGAGGCUCGCGGUGGCUAUCGUUAUGUUCUCACUCUCACUGAUGACUUGAGUAGAUAUGGGUAUAUCUACUUAAUGAAACACAAGUCUGAAACCUUUGAAAAGUUUAAGGAAUUUCAGAGUGAGGUUGAGAACCAACGUGACAGGAAGAUCAAGUUUCUACGAUCAGAUCGUGGAGGAGAAUACUUGAGUCAUGAAUUUGGCACACACUUAAGAAAAUGUGGAAUAGUUUCACAACUAACGCCGCCUGGAACACCUCAGCGUAACGAUGUGUCCGAACGUCGUAAUCGCACUCUUUUAGACAUGGUGCGGUCUAUGAUGUCUCUUACCGAUUUACCGCUAUCUUUUUGGGGCUAUGCUUUAGAGACUGCUGCAUUCACUUUAAAUAGGGCUCCGUCGAAAUCCGUUGAGACGACACCGUUUGAAUUAUGGUUUGGAAAGAAACCUAAGUUGUCGUUUCUAAAAGUUUGGGGAUGCGAUGCUUAUGUCAAGAAACUUCAACCUGAAAAGCUCGAACCCAAGUCGGAGAAAUGCGUCUUCAUAGGAUACCCUAAAGAAACUAUUGGGUAUACCUUCUACCUCAGAUCCGAAGGCAAGGUCUUUGUUGCCAAGAAUGGAUCCUUUCUAGAGAAGGAGUUUCUCUCGAAAGAAGUAAGUGGGAGGAAAGUAGAACUAGAUGAAGUAUUGCCUCUUGAACCGGAAAAUGGCACAACUCAAGAAAAUGUUCCUGAGGUGCCAGCACCGACUAGAGAGGAUGUUAAUGAUAAUGAUCAAGAUACUUCUGAUCUAGCUUCUACUGAAAUUCGAAGGUCCACAAGGACACGUUCCGCACCAGAGUGGUACGACAACCCUGUCUUGGAAAUCAUGUUGUUAGACAACGGUGAACCUUCGAACUAUGAAGAAGCGAUGACGGGCCCGGAUUCCGACAAAUGGCUAGAAGCCAUGAAAUCCGAGAUAGGAUCCAUGUAUGAAAACGAAGAAUGGACUUUGACUGACUUGCCCGUUGAACGGCGAGCCAUAGAAAAUAAAUGGAUCUUUAAGAAGAAGACAGACGCAGAUGGUAAUGUGACCAUCUAUAAAGCUCGGCUUGUCGCUAAGGGUUAUCGACAAGUUCAAGGGGUUGACUACGAUGAGACUUUCUCACCGGUAGCGAAGCUAAAGUCCGUCCGAAUCAUGUUAGCAAUUGCCGCGUUUUACGAUUAUGAAAUAUGGCAAAUGGACGUCAAAACGGCAUUCCUUAAUGGUUUCCUUAAGGAAGAAUUGUAUAUGAUGCAGCCGGAAGGUUUUGUCGAUCCUAAGAAUGCUGACAAGGUGUGCAAGCUCCAACGCUCGAUAUAUGGGCUGGUGCAAGCAUCUCGGAGUUGGAACAUUCGCUUUGAUGAGAUGAUCAAAGCGUUUGGGUUUACACAGACUUAUGGAGAAGCCUGUGUUUACAAGAAAGUGAGUGGGAGCUCUGUAGCAUUUCUCAUAUUAUAUGUAGAUGACAUACUUUUGAUGGGAAAUGAUAUAGAACUCUUGGACAGCAUUAAGGCCUACUUGAAUAAGAGUUUUUCAAUGAAGGACCUUGGAGAAGCUGCUUAUAUAUUAGGCAUCAAAAUCUAUAGAGAUAGAUCGAGACCCCUCAUAGGUCUUUCACAAAGCACAUACCUUGAUAAGAUAUUGAAGAAGUUCAAUAUGGAUCAGUCUAAGAAGGGAUUCUUGCCUGUACUACAAGGUAUGAAAUUGAGCUCGGCUCAAAGUCUGACCACGGCAGAAGAAAUAGAAGAGAUGAGUAUCAUCCCCUAUGCCUCAGCCAUAGGUUCUAUUAUGUAUGCCAUGCUGUGUACCAGACCUGAUGUAAACCUUGCCGUAAGUUUGGUAGGAAGGUACCAAAGUAAUCCCGGCAAGGUCGUGUAGUUCGUUUUGCUAGAGUUUUGCAAUGUCAAGUAUCUUUUCCUUAGACCAUGAGAUCGUGUAACUCCCGGAUACCGUAGGAGUACUUUGGGUAUACCAAACGUCACAACGUAACUGGGUGACUAUAAAGGUAGACUACGGGUAUCUCUGAAAGUAUCUGUUGGGUUGACACGGAUCAAGACUGGGAUUUGUCACUCCGUAUAACGGAGAGGUAUCACUGGGCCCACUCGGUAAUGCAUCAUCAUAAUGAGCUCAAAGUGACCAAGUGUCUGGUCAUGGGAUCAUGCAUUACGGUACGAGUAAAGUGACUUGCCGGUAACGGGAUUGAACGAGGUAUUGGGAUACCGACGAUCGAAUCUCGGGCAAGUAAUAUAUCGAUAGACAAAGGGAAUUGCAUACGGGGUUGAUUGAAUCCUCGACAUCGUGGUUCAUCCGAUGAGAACAUCGUGGAGCAUGUGGGAGCCAACAUGGGUAUCCAGAUCCCGCUGUUGGUUAUUGACUGGGAUCGUCUCGGUCAUGUCUACAUGUCUCCCGAACCCGUAGGGUCUACACACUUAAGGUUCGGUGACGCUAGGGUUGUGAAGAUAAGUAGAUGCAGUAACCCGAAUGUUGUUCGGGGUCCCGGAUGAGAUCCCGGACGUCACGAGGAGUUCCGGAAUGGUCCGGAGGUAAAGAAUUAUAUAUAGGAUGUGCAGUUUCGGCCAUCGGGACAAGUUUCGGGGUACCCGGUAUUGUACCGGGACCACCGGAAGGGUCCCGGGGGUCCACCGGGUGGGGCCACCUAUCCCAGAGGGCCCCUUGGGCUGAAAUAGGUGGGAACCCAGCCCAUAGUGGGCUGGGGCGCCAUCCCCCCCAAGGCCCAUGCGCCUAGGGUUGGGGGGGAACCCUAAAGGGGGGGGCCACCCCUUGCUUGGGGGGCAAGCCCCCCACCCCUUGGCCGCCGCCCCCCCUGGUAGAUCCCAUCUACCAGGGCCGGCGCCCCCCCUGGCACCCCUAUAUAUAUGUGGGGAGAGGAGGGACUUGCUGCCCACGCAUUUGGUGCUUCCCUCUCUCCCUGUUACACCUAUCUCCCUCGUAGUACACGGCGAAGCCCUGCUGUCGUGACGCCCUGCAUCCACCACCACGCCGUCGUGCUGCUGGAUCUUCAUCAACCUCUCCUUCCCCCUUGCUGGAUCAAGAAGGAAGAGACGUCUCCCGUCCCGUACGUGUGUUGAACGCGGAGGUGCCGUCCGUUCGGCGCUGGUCAUCGGUGAUUUGGAUCACGACGUGUUCGACAACAUCAACCACGUUCUAACGAACGCUUCCGCUCGCGAUCUACAAAGGUAUGUAGAUGCAUCUCGUGACUCGUUGCUAGAUGAACUCCUAGAUGAUCUUGGUGAAACGAGUAGGAAAUUUUUUUGUUUUCUGCAACGUUCCCCAACAGAUGCACUCUCAUUCCCCUCGUUGCUAGUCUCUCCAUAGAUAGAUCUUGGUGACACGUAGGAAAAUUUUGAAUUUCUGCUACGUUCCCCAACAACAUAAGCCUCUUCUCCGGCACCGGCGACUCUCUCAGUUUGUUCAAUAAUUCAUGAAUAGUAUCUAAAAAAUUAAACAAUAUCGAAGGAUCUUAUAUUUCAAAGAUUUAGUAGCACAAGCAACAUCAUUUGUUUCAACUUUAUCAACCAUAGAAGCAAUUUCAUAUGUGGCCUUAAAGUGAAGAAAAAUGUUCAACUUUCUCUAUCUCAUAAUAAUUAUACUCAUACUUAACAUAAGAAGCUAGUGUAUCAUGACAUAAUACUCACAUUGGAAUAGAAAGUGUUUACAACCUUUCAUAGAGCAACAAGCUAUUUGAUAUAUAUAUUUCACACAAAUCACCAACCGAGCCAUUCAAUUCUUUUAGCAUGCCCUUCAAGUGUUUCCCUUUCUGAGACGAACGGUGUUUCGGAAUCAAAAUCAUGCUCCCCCUAUGUAUUUUCCCAUACUAAGCCAGGUUGGAUAUUAGCACACACACAAAUGGAUGGAAGAUAAUCCAGGUAUUAGCUUCUUCAGUGGUGAGGAUUUUAGGAGGUUCCUCAACUCUUUUCUUAGUAAGUAGAACAACUUUAUUUACAUUUCCUACAUAUAGUGAAAGAUAGAAAACAUAUGAAAAACCGUAAAUCUAUUUAUUUGUAAAGCAAAUAAAUGCACCCGAGAAUGUUCACCCUAGCGGCAUAUUCCCCAACAAUGUUGCCAUCAAUCAUUUAUUAUUUCCGAAUAUACAACUAGUUACACCAUACCUUGUUUGUCCACUAGCUGCCUUUUUACAAGGCCGAGCUCUUCUUCGGCCUGCUCCAGACUCAGCUUUAGUCCAGAGACCUCCACUGCUUGAGAGGUCGCGGCCAGCAACAAUGCCUGCUUAUUCAUAUAAGACACAUUUAGUUAGUUUCCUGCAAAAAUGAAUUGAUCCUCCGUCCGGCCUUUCUUUCCGAACACCGGACAGUGUCUCAGGGGCUACUGUCUAUAUUGGGAUUUUCUCUUUUGCGUCGCUUACCUCAAAACCUAUCAGCAAGCUGCUGCAGGCUUCGGUUAAUCCGCUCUUGACGGACUGAACCCUCUCAAUCACCGUACCCAUAAGGAUACGGUGUUCCUCCACAAUGGAAGCGCCUCGUAGCGCUUCUAGCAGAUUAUCCGGUGCCUCUGGUUGGACAGAGGUCACCGGCGGGACAGGCACACCUCUUUCUCUUCAAGGAGGCUACUCGCCAGAUUCCAGAGCCGUAUGGGUCUCCGGAUCUGUGUUCGGCCGGGGUCCGAACUAAACACUACCCCCGUCGCCAGUCUCCAUGGGGACCUGCUCCCCUAGGUGUUCGGCGACCAAGGUUUCACCCUGCGGCGCCACCCUGAUGGCCUCCUGAACCUCUCCCUGGCCUGGGGAGGUCCUUUGGGGCAGCACCUCAUCGUCGCCCUUGGCCUUGGGAGAGUAAGCGGCCAGCGGUAACUCACUGGCCAUCGCCUUUGAAUCCAGCGAACCUCCUGAUGAGGUUCGCGGGGAGCUGUCGCGGGCCGGACUGCAAUAACAUAAUUAAAAUACGUUUAUAUCAUGGAGAGGAGAGGCCGGAUACAUGGAUGCAUAUGGGAUUUUUAGUACUUACGAUGUGGCCAGGGACUUGCUUCGGGGGUGCCGCUCUGGGCUGCUGUCGACGUCCCACGCGGAGUUAUCCGCGAGGGGGCCCUUCCCCCUCUUGGGCGCCCGUGCCUCCAGAUUUGUGGAGGCCACCGUCUUCUUCCUCCCCCCAUCUGGGAGAGAGUUGCUUUCUUCCUCCUCCUCGUCGUCGUCUUCGGCGGCAGAGGAGUGAGUCUUGUCUUCGGAUGUCACGUCUGAAGCGCCCUUGCGGCGAGGGCCACCUUUGGCCCCUUGGCCUUCUUCUCGGCCUUCCUCUCCGGCGCCUUGUAGGGCGCCGAAACCAGCAUCUUCGCCAGGAGCGGGAUGGCUGGCUCCUCGAGCAGCAGAGCUGGACACUGAAUCCGCUCCGCUUUCUCCGUCGAUACCUGAAAGAAUGUUAUAGUAAAAUUUAGAUCCUCCUUAAACGAGCAAGUAGAGGAUGCGCCUUGAGACGUGACUUACCGCACUGGCAGGAUGAGCAAGAUCGUGCCCGCAGUCGGAAUCAAUGGUCGGCGGCGUCUCGUUGCCCUUGAAGAGCAACUUCCAAACAUCUUCGUGAGUAGUUCCGAAGAGUCUUUCCAAGGUUUGGUGCUUCUCCGGAUCAAAUUCCCAUAAAGGGCAUGUUCGGCUCUGGCAUGGAAGGAUCAGGCGAGCUAGCAUCACUUGGAUCACAUGGACGAGCUUGAUGUUUUUAUCCACCUUGCUUUGGAUGCACGUCGCGCUAUCAGCUCAUCCAACAAAGACCAAUUUGGGCCCUUCUCUAUCCAGGAGGUGAGCCGCAUUGGAGCUCCAGAUUUGAACUUGGGAGUUGCGGCCCAGGUGGCAUCACGAGGCUCUAUGAUAUAGAGCCACAGCUUCUGCCACUCCUUGACCGUCUCCACAAACUUACCUUUGGGCCAUGUGACAUUGGGCAUCUUGCUCAUCAUGGCGCCUCCGCACUCUGCGUGUUGGCCAUCCACCACCUUCGGCUUCACGUUGAAGAUCUUGAGCCAUAGUCCGAAGUGGGAAGGAAUGCGGAGGAAGGCCUCGCACACGACAAUAAAUGCCGAGAUGUUGAGGAUGGAGUUUGGGGCUAGAUCAUGGAAAUCUAGCCCAUAAUAGAACAUCAGUCCGCGGACAAAAGGGUGGAGUGGAAACCCUAACACGCGAACGAAAUGAGGGAUGAACACUACCCUCUCAUUGGGCUUUGGUGUGGUGACAACUUGCCCCUUGGCCGGAAGCCCGUGGGCGAUUUCUUUCGCCAGAUACCCGGCCUCCCGAAGCUCGGCGAUGUCCUUCUCCUUAACGGAGGAGGCCAUCCACUUGCCUUGUCCUCCAGAUCCGGACAUGGUUGGGAGCUUGCUUGAGGCGGAAAAGAUGAGAACUUGGGCGCUGGAGCUCAAGAAUGGAAGGGCAGACGAAGAGAGAAGGCGUGGGUGAAGAAAGGGAAUCCUUAUCCCCUUAUAAAGGCAGUGAAUAUCGAACGCCUCCCCACACGCCUUAAAACUCGCCUAUUCCCAAGGGCUGUGCAAACGGCAUGGUUGGAUUACCCACGCCUGUAUUGAUGAGAAUCCCGCAAUAAGGGGACACGAUCUCUGCUUUGACAAGACGUGCCAAUGAAAACCGCGUCUCGAAACAUGGAAUGGCAGACGAAAAUGGUUCGAAAUAAUGACCGGGCUGACGUGAUGUCACAUUACAAAAAAGUUGUCAGCCGAUCGGACUCGUGAAAUAUUAUACUCUCUGUGGUUGUGUGUGGUACUUGUGUUGCAGAUCUGAAUACAUUUGUUGCGUCCGAAGACUAUCUUGGAGUAUUCGGAGGAGGGAACCCGCCUUGCAAUGCCGAAGACAAUAUGCGCGCCGGACACCUCGUUAUUGAGGCCUGGUUCAGGGGCUACUGAGGGAGUCCUAGACUAAGGGGUCCUCGGACAUUCGGCCUGUUGGACAUGGGACGGACUAAUGGCUGUAAAGAUACAAGACCGAAGACUCUCUCCCGUGUCCGGAUGGGGCUCUCCUUGGCAUGGAAGGCAAGCUUGGCAUCCAAAUAUGAAGAUUCCUUUCUCUGUAACCGACUUUGUACAACACUAGUCCCCUUUGGUGUCUAUAUAAACCGGAGGGCUUAGUACGGAUCGAUAGAUAGACAUACAUGCUAGACUUCUAGGGUUUUAGCCAUUACGAUCUCGUGGUAGAUCAACUCUUGUAAUGCUCAUAUUCAUCAAGAUCAAUCAAGCAGGAAGUAGGGUAUUACCUCCAUAGAGAGGGCCCGAACCUGGGUAAACAUCAUGUCCCCUGUCUCCUGUUACCAUCGACCUUAGACACAUGGUUCAGGACCCCCUACCCAAGAUCCGCCGGUUUUGACAUCGACAACACGCACGAGCACAGCGGGUGCAAUCCAAACGCACGGGGGCCAGCGCCACGGUGGGUGGAGGGGCGCGCACUGGCACGGGCACGGGCGCUGGUGCUGGCGCUGGCAUGUACACGAGCUCGUGCGGGUCCGCGGAGACCUCACUGACGCCCGUGGCUUCCAGCUCUGCGAUAGUGCUCGGCGACCAGCCCGCCAAUGCUACGGGGAUGAUCUCUGGCGCGGGAGCGGGGAUGGGAGCAGGGACGGGAGCGGGGGCAGCAACCGCCGGGGCCAGCUCGUUCUGGGCCAUGUCCAUGAGGCCCCAUUCCUCCUUAUUUUCUAUCUCCUCCGGCUCGGAGUCGACUUCACCAAACUUGAAGACUAGUGGCAGAUGAUCGUUCUGCGACAUGGCGUUGGUGGAGGUCUGCGGUUGCGGGAGGGAGGGGAAUGGGAGGCGAACAGUAAGGCCACCCGUAUUAAACAACGGCUUGGGCGCCAUUAAUGGAGAGGAAGGCGGGAGGCCAUGGAAGUCAAAGGGCUCGCUUCCCAGUGAGCCUGUGCAGCGUAUAGCUCGCACGCUUCCUGGUGAGCCUGUGCAUUGGAUGACAGCUUGCACGCUCUUGGUCAGCCUGCACACCGGACUGCGCUCGCAUGCCUCCCGUUUAGUCAAGGUCAAGCAGUUGUCCGCGCGGCACCUCCUACAGCCAUUAAAACCAAGACAUGUGGAGUCACAUAAAUGGUUAAAAGAACGCACACGGUUUGAAUUCUACAAACAUUUGAGAUAUUAAAGUGGCAGCUAUUUUUUCAAAAUGCCUUUGUUGGCUGUCAUUAUUCGAGUGCGCCUUCUCUCAAAGUGGACAUGCAAAAUGCCACAGCAUGUCAGGUGCCAUUUCAUGAUAGCAUGCCAAGUUUCAUGAAUUUCAGAUGAGUUUUUGAUUUACUAGAAUUUAAAAACCAGGCAUCUCAACAAUUUGCCGGCAAUAAAGAGUGCCCUGGUGUUUGAAUUUCAUUCCAAUCUCUUGCAUGGGACCUAGAAAUUCACCCUAGGACGCACUUGUGAUUUUUCAACCAACUUUGGUGCAUAGGAGCAUGUGCAUGUAGUUCAAUUUUGAAUUAUGCACAUAAAAUGCCUAGAAAACACAGUUAAUGCAUAAAAAUGUCCAAAUGAACAUCCCAAAAAUUGACACAACAAUCUUGUUCUUCUAUGUUGACAUGAGAAAUUUUUUGAAAGCAAUAAGAGGCAAUGGAUGUUGUUUCGUCCCCAAACGUGGGACGUACGUUCCCUACUGAAACCAUCAGGCUUGUUGGGAGAAGCUCUGGUUUGUGAGAAGCAUAUACCCAAACCUGCCCCAAAUGGGACAAUUUUUUACCACGGAAUGUUUAUGCCGCUCCAUGAUAGCAUGCCAAGUUUCAUGAAUUUCAGUCGAGUUUUUGAUUUACUAGAAUUUAAAAACUAGGCAUCUCAAUGUUUUGAAGGCAAUCAACGGUGCCCUGGUGUUUGAAAUUCAUUCCCAUUUCUUGCAAGGGACCUAAGCAUGCACCCAAGGACACAUAUUUGAUUUUUCAACCAAUUUAUAUGCACUGGAGCAAGUGCAUGUAGUUCAAAUUUGAAUUAUGCACAUAAAUGCAUUGAAAACUCAGUUAAUGCAUAAAUAUGUCCAAACGAACCCCGAAAAAUCCCAAAAAUUGACACAACACUCCUGUUGUUCUAUGUUGACACGAGAAAAAAAUUGAAAGCAAUAAGAGGCAAUGGAUAUCAUUUCGUCCCCAAAGGUGGGACGUUCCCUAUCGAAACCAUCAUGCUUGUUGUGAGAAGCUCUGGUUUGUGAGAAGCAUAUACCCGAACCUGCCCGAAAUGGGAAAAAAAUUACCACGGCAUGUUGAUGCUGCUCCAUGAUAGCAUGCCAAGUUUCAUGAAUUUCAGACGAGUUUUGGAUUUACUAGAAUUUAAAAACCAGGCAUCUCAACUUUUUGCCGGCAAUCAAAGUGCCCUGGUGUUUGAAUUUCAUUCCAAUCUCUUGCAUGGGACCUAGAAAUUCACCCAAGGACACACAUGUGAUUUUUCAACCAACUUUAGUGCAUUGGAGCAUGUCCUUGUAGUUCAAAUUUGAAUUAUGCACAUAAAAUGCCUACAAAACCCAGUUAAUGUAUAAAAAAGGCCGAACGAACCCCAAAAAAUUUCAAGAUUAAACACAACACUCCUUUUGUUCUAUGAUAACACUAGAAAUUUUAUGAAAGCAAUAAGAGGCAGUGGAUAUCGCCCCGUCCCCAAAGGUGGUACGUUCCCUAUCGAAACCAUCAUGCUUGUUCUGAGGAGCUCUGGUUUGUGAGAAGCUUAUACCCAAACCUGCCCCAAAUGGGACAAAAUUUUCACCACGACAUGUUGAUGCCACUCCAUCAUAGCAUGCCAAGUUUCAUGACGAGUUUUGGAUUUACUAGAAUUUAAAAACCAGGUAUCUCAACAUUUUGCCGGCAAUCAACAGUGCCCUGGUGUUUGAAAUUCAUUCCCAUCUCUUGCAUGGGACCUAGAAAUUCACCCAAGGACACACAUGUGAUUUUUCAACCAACUUUAGUGCAUUGGAGCAUGUGCUUGUAGUUCAAAUUUGAAUUAUGCACAUAAAAUGCCUAGAAAACCCAGUUAAUGUAUAAAAGGGCCAAACGAACCCCGAAAAAUUCCAAGAUUAAACACAACACUCAUAUUGUUCUAUGUUGACACUAGAAAUUUUAUGAAAGCAAUAAGAGGCAAUGGAUAUCGUCCCAUCCCCAAAGGUGGUACAUUCCCUAUCGAAACCAUCAAGCUUGUUUUGAGAAGCUCUGGUUUGUGAGAAGCUUAUACCCAAACCUGCCCCAAAUGGGACAAAUUUUUCACCACGGCAUGUUGAUGCUGCUCCAUCAUAACAUGCCAAGUUUCAUGAAUUUCAGACGAGUUUUGGAUUUACUAGAAUUUAAAAACUAGGUACCUCAACGUUUUGACGGUAAUCAACAGUGCCCUAGUGUUUGAAAUUCAUUCCCAUCUCUUGCAUGUGACCUAGAAAUUCACCCAAGGACACACAUGUGAUUUUUCAACCAACUUUGGUGCAUUGGAGCAUGUGCUUGUAGUUCAAAUUUGAAUUAUGCACAUAAAAUGCCUAGAAAACCCAGUUAAUGUAUAAAAUGGUCAAAAGAACCUCGGAAAAAUCAUUCCCAUUUCUUCCAUGGGACCUAAGCAUGCACUGAAGGACACAGAUUUGAUUUUUCAACCAAUUUGUAUGCACCGGAGCAUGUGCAUGUAGUUUAAUUUUGAAUUGUGCACGUGAAAUGGCUAGAAAACCAGUUUAUUGUAUAAAAAUGUCCAAACGAACCCUGAAUAAUUCCAAUUCUUUUACGACACACAUAUAGUUGCAUGUUCACUGCGGAUAAAAGGUCUAGCAAUUCAAACAGCGUCCAUUGCCGCUGUGACCCCAUUUUGUAAUUCAAAUCAAGUAGAUCCCACACAGUUUAUUAUCACUAACCGUGUGAGAUGUAGUACAAAAUAUCUUGGAGCACCGUUGGUGUAUAGUACGCCUAUGGCUUAUGCGAGAAGGUGCGUCAGCUACAGUCCACAGUCGGCGUGUCAAGCACACUAGCUCACUCCCCAAAAACUCCCUCCACUGCAUCCCUCGCAAUCUCGAAAAUAUCUACCGCCUAGAAGGUUUUAAUGUUUUAUAGCACACGAUUAGUAUGUGCGUACUGUGUGCGAUGUCUGUUACUCCCGCUCUGCUUCAGUCCCUUGAUUCAAAUUUUCAGUAGCCCUGGCAUUUUAGUCCCGCCUCUACAUUCCUCGCAAUCUCAAAAAUUUCUGCUCGCCCUUGAUCCAAAUUUUCAGUAUCCCCGCCUUGUUACUCCCGCCUAGUAAAAUUUUCAGUUGCCGCAGUAUUUCCUCAAACACAACCUUGCUCCCUCCUCCCUCCACACACACACCCCAAAACCUCCGUUCACACAGACACACACAACCCUCGAAACCAUUGGUAGGUCACCACCAUCAUCGACGCCUCCCACCUCAACCUCUGCCCGUGUGCCGGGGAGCUUGAGGAGCCAAUGCCCAAAAAGAGGUUUAUCGCGGCCUUUUCACCCAACGUCGGCGAAGUGGUCGCCGAGGUGUACCCGUCUUCCUUCGCGGGCCCAAUCCGCCGUCACCGGUCCCCCGAUCUGCCCGCCGCCGCACCCCUACGCCGGUUCGAGGACUUACCCGUCCUCCCUCGGACCCGGCAGCCGAUACCUCGGGGUCCGGCAGCGGCGGUGGGGGACGUGGGUCGCCGAGAUUACAGAUCGAGAGACCCACACCCGCCGGUGGCUCGGUAGCUUCCACACGGCCGAGCUUGCGGCCAUGGAGUACGACCGCUGGCAGGUCCGCUACCAUGGUGCGGUGGCUAGGCUCAAUUUCCCCUUCGGCACACGUCCGGUCCACCUCGUUCCGCCGGAGCCAGGGGUGGUGAGCUCGGCUAUGGCACGGGAGGACCACGAGGCGUGGGAGCGUCUCGAGGCCAAGGCCGCCGACGAGGUGGAGCAGGCGAUCUUUGCCGGCGCGGAGGGCGGCGAGGUUAUCACGCUCUCCUCUGAUGAUGAGGUCGAAGGCGGCGAGGACGGCGGCACGGAGGGCAGCGAGGUUAUCGCGCUCUCCUCUGACGACGAGGUCGAAGGCGGCGGCGACGGCGGCGCGGAGGGCGUCGAAGUGGGCCCCGAGGACGAGGAGAUCGAUGUUGACGAGUGGAGGAGUGCCUUCCCCAACGACUCCGAUGACAAUACUGGCCCGGACCCGGCUCGCGGCACACCGUACAUGACGAGGAAGGAUUGGCUCGACCUCUACUUCGACCGAAAGUAGUUUAGCUUAGUUUAAAUUUAUGUUUUAUGUUCGGUUAUGCAAAACUAUCUAUGUUUAUGUUUGAAUGCAUGCUACUUUUGGUUGAACCUGCUUUGAACUUGAUCAAAUUGAAGUUUACAACCUUAAGUUUAGGGGAUCGACUAGAGAAGGCCAAAAAUUGCUGGAGUAUAUAUAUAUAUAUAUAUAUAUAUAUAUAUAUAUAUAUNNNNNNNNNNNNNNNNNNNNNNNNNNNNNNNNNNNNNNNNNNNNNNNNNNNNNNNNNNNNNNNNNNNNNNNNNNNNNNNNNNNNNNNNNNNNNNNNNNNNNNNNNNNNNNNNNNNNNNNNNNNNNNNNNNNNNNNNNNNNNNNNNNNNNNNNNNNNNNNNNNNNNNNNNNNNNNNNNNNNNNNNNNNNNNNNNNNNNNNNNNNNNNNNNNNNNNNNNNNNNNNNNNNNNNNNNNNNNNNCCUUUUAAGGAUCGCCUAAAGAUGUCCUUAUGACUUGGUUAUUUUAGUUCUUCACAAUAUGAUGCUCUAUAUGUGCAACUAUUUGUUGUGCAGUUCAAUUUCAUCAAUAACAGUUUCAAGAAUACCACUAUGAAUUACGAUAUUUAGUUGCUAUUAAGGAUAUUACAGUUAACAUGCCUUUUCAUUUUUCAAUUGUUGUUUAGCAACAUGCAUUGUACUGAAUGACUAAAUAUGCAAUCCCAGGUUACAUAGCAACAAGGAAGAGUGUUACCUUAAUGUUCUGAUGAUGUCUAGAUAUACAUGUAAUAAAAUCUUAUAUAAUGGGAUGGAUGGAGUGUUGUACUACAUCAUUUUUCAAUUGUUGUUUAGCUUCUAAUAUUAACUUGGUGCUUUUAGGUACAUAUAUCAUUGCCAAAGAUCCACACUUCGACCCUUUCUGCGUAUGGGGCAAUGAGAUAUUUAUGAACGAGCAUCAAGUGAGGAAACUGAUAAAGAUUGUUACUAAAAUGGGUCAAAAGAUGUCAAUCGAACUAUUUGUUUACACUUUAUGCAAGACAACAGUGAACUGCAGGAUGGUAAGUAAGAACCCUGUAGCCUUCUUUUUACUGCGCGUAAUAAGUUGUGUUAGAUGACAAUAUUUGAAUCUUUUUUCUUUUGCAGUGGAUCCUGAAGCAGUUUACUCAAGAUUACCUCUCAAACUACAUGAUUGGCGGCCGGCCAUCACAAGGGGUUGGACUAGAGUCCUGCAUGCCUUCUACAUCCAGGAGAGCACAAUAGGGCCAUUCUGCUUCACCUUGUUCGGUAACUGGAAUGUCUGUCGCCUCUUUCUUUACCAUCUUUAAUAGUACAAGUAUAGAACCCUGGUACAUCAUUCUUUAUUUGGUGCUUCUGUAAUUCUUAAACAUAUGUACCUGUGAAUCGAAUAAUGCAUUGGUUGUUUGAACCUGAUGGAUAUGAAUAAAGCUAUAGCCUACUUUCAAGUUUAAAUUAGGUACAAUUUUAAAUAGCAGCAAUUAAAUUAGGGAGAAAUUACAUUGUGUAGGUCAUUACGGCACACACGGUUGGUAAACACAAACGUUUGCGAUAUACACCAUAUUCUGAGACGGUUCAUAAAGAGGAAACGUGUGCAAGCAUGCACACAGUUGCCGUUCGCAAAGCCUGUGUGAUGUCAGACACUAUCACAUACGGUGCUGGAAAACUAAAUGUGUGUGAUUGUCUACCUAUCGUACACGGUUUAUAAUCAUGAACUGUUUGUGAUGUGCCAGGCAUCGUAAAUCUCCCGUGCCUGGAAUCUGCCUAGAAUCUGCUUAGAAAGCUCUCGUGCCUAGAAUCUGCCUGGUUUUAGGAAGAACCACAAAACUCCGACUGCGAUGGCAAUGCGAGGACAAACGAGUAGCACGGAUGAAGCAUUUGGGGUAUUCGAGAUAUCAGAAACGGCUAUAUAGGGACAACUGUAUGCAUCAAGGCUCCCUAUCCCCGAUGGUUUCUGGGUCGUGUGGGAAGGACCCCCUAUCGCCCACACUCACUUGGCGACGGUUCCAAAUGCCGUCAUGGAAAGGGGUAAAAAACCGUUUGUUUAGGACCGACGCGCACCAAUGAUACCAUGCCAAGUUUCAUGAUUUUGAGGUGAGUUUUGGAUUUGCAGUAAUUUUAAAACCAGGUUUCUCAAUGUUUGUUGUCGAGUCAGCACCGCCCUGGAUAGGCUUUUUCCUCGUGGGUCCCAAAUGACAAAUCCAAAUAUGUCACUACCAUGCUACCUUUCUUAUUAAGAAUUAUAGCCCAUUUGGUGUGCUAGCUGAAAAUAAGUUUGUGGGUGCUGGUGGGCGCUAAGAACUUGCGGGUUCUGUAAUGAACAAAGAUCUCGAGGAUCCCGCGAGAGUGAUGUUCUUUCCCUAUGUUGUGAAUGCUUAUAAUAUUUAUGUCUUAAUUAAAGAAAUGGCAAGCCAUUUGCCCAGUAUGAAAGAAAAUAUGGGUCAAAACCGAGUUGAAAAGGGAAACAGUAUCUAACUUCAGCUUACAAACAGUACAAAAGCACAAGGAUUAAUUGCUCAUCAGGUUUAGACAAAAUCCAGAUUGAACAGGACAAUGACAUCUAACUCAACCAAAGUUUUCGGCAGUCACAAUCAAAUGGAUCGGUCUGAUCCAUAAAAUCAAGAUCCCCGGCCAGAAAUUCUACUGGUACAUGAUGACAAGCUGUUGUAAAUAGAAGCCGAGGACGAUCAGAAGCCCUUAGGUCCACCUGAAACUUCUUUUUAUGUUGUUCAACACUCAUAGACGUAAGAAAUUUCUUGUUGAAAAACUUAAUCCUCAUGGACAAUAGUGCCCUCGCAUUCAACAUGAAGAACGUGACAAAGCUAGUGUUUGCAUUGUUGGAUGCAUAUCCUUCCAGUGUUACUGUCUUCAAACGAAUGUCAUGAGAUAUGAGAAAAUCCUGGUGCUUCUUGAACCAUCGAUUGGUUAUACCUUUUUCUCCAUGUGUUAGUGCCUAAAUAUAUAUGAAGAUUGAAAACAGUUAAUGUCUAAAAAGAUUAUGUUGAAAGAGUGAUAGCUCAACGAUUAAUUAUAGUACAUUAUAUAUGGGCUUUAAAUCUACGUGAAAUCAUCACCUUUAUAUACAAAUUCUCCAGACAUGGAAAGCAUUGCAGCAAGCCAAUAAUCAUGUUCAGAUAAAAACACCACAUACUGAUAUGUAAGGUCUUGACAGAAUCCACCACCACUGAUAGGAUGGACAAGCUCUUCAUUGAGCAUGGAACAUAAUAUUAGUACCAAAAGUGUAGUCCAAGAUGAUACUUAACUUAUGCGCACAAAUGAAAAGGCAGAUUACAAAAGUUUACGUGAAUAAUAUACAAUACCUCAAUAGGUGUGGAGCCAAACACCAUCUUGAACCAUCUAAAAGUAUCACGAAUUGCACCCAAGGUCUCCAGUUUAGGCGUAGAGACUAUAGUUAUUUGCGAAGGUACUAUACCAGAAUCAAGGAGCAACCUUUGAAGUGAAGGGGCAUCUUCGAUGAUGAGAUCAUGUCCAAAAAAACAAAUUCCCAUUCUUACAAGGUGGGUGAAAGCACAAGUGCUCCCUGGGUGGUUUGGUAAAUAAUGUCAACAUAUCUCUUGUUGGACUAAUGUUUUCAUCUAGUAUAUUUCAGACAAGUUCAACAGAUGGAGUGGCGUGGACAAGAGGAUAAGGAACCCCUUUAAGGUGCUAAGGAUAAAGGAUUGGCUUAAGCUGAAAAGCUCAAGACUCUACAUUUUAAUUUUAGUGAUCCAAGAUCACAUUGAGUCCAUAGGAAAGCCAAUACUAUUAAAAGGGGAUGAGGUGUUGCUUAAUGGCUUGUUUGCUCAAAGUGCUUAGUGAUAUGCUCCAAAACCCUCAACCAUUUUCUCAUAUCCACAUAUGUCCCAAACCAAAAGUCAAACUCGGCCCCACCGAAUCUUUCUAUCCGACGCCACCAAGUUCAGUUGACAUAGACACUGCCAGAAAAUCUAAUCAAUUCGGUCGCACCGAUGGGAUCUCAGUCUCACCAAGAUGGGCUUGCAAAGUCUCUGGUUCCUGUUGCAUUAAAUUCGGUCUUACCGAGUUUCGUAAUCGGUCCCACCGAGUUUGCCUCACCAACUCUCUGGUUAGCCUAUUACCAAAAUCGGUCCCACCGAGUUUGUGUAAUCAGUCAAACCGAGAUGAGGUUUUACCCUAACCCUAGGACAUCGGUCCCACCAAAUUGAUCAUAUCGGUCCCACCGAAAUGCCUAACGGUCACAUUAUGAACUAAAUCGGUUCGGCCGAGUUUUCUGAUUCAGUCCCACCGAGUUUGGUGAUUUGUGUGUAACGGUUAGAUUUUGUGUGGAGGCUAUAUAUACCCCUCCACCCACUCUUCACUUGUGGGGAGAGCCAUCAGAACAUGCCUACACUUCCAUCAUACAUUUUCUGAGAGAGAACCACCUACUCAUGUGUUGAGGUCAAGAUAUUCCAUUCCAACCACAUAAAUCUUGAUCUCUAGCCUUCUCCAACUUGCUUUCCACUCAAAUCAUCUUUCCACCAAAUCCAAAUCUAUGAGAGAGAGUUGGGUGUUGGGGAGACUAUCAUUUGAAGCACAAGAGCAAGGAGUUCAUCAUCAACACACCAUCUAUUACCUUUUGGAGAGUGGUGUCUCCUAGAUUGGUUAGGUGUCACUUGGGAGCCUCCAUCAAGUUUGUGGUGUUGAACCAAGGAGUUUGUACGGGUAAGGAGAUCGCCUACUUCGUGAAGAUCUACCCUAGUGAGGCAAGUCCUUUGUGGGCGAUGGCCAUGGUGGGAUAGACAAGGUUGCUUCUUCAUGGACCCUUCGUGGACUCGCGCAAUUGUUACCCUUCAUGGGUUGAAGUCUCCACCAACGUGGAUGUACGAUAGCACCACCUAUCGGAACCACGCCAGAAAUCUCCGUGUCUCCAAUUGCGUUUGCACACUCCAAUCCCAUCCCUUUACAUUCUUGCAAAUUGCAUGAUUUACUUUCCGCUGCUCAUAUACUCUUGUCAUGCUUGCUUGAUAUGUAUUGUGAAUGUUUAAUUUUGUGCUAAAACUCCACCUUAACUUGAAGAAAAUAAAAACUGCAAAUUUUUCUUGUUAAGAGUCUAUUCACCCCCCCUCUAGACACCUCUUCUCGAUCCUUUCAAUUGGUAUCAGAGCAUUGGUCUCCAUUGCUUUGGUUUACACAUCUUUGGAGGAAGAUGGAUGUGUCUACGUUGGGGAGUCUUAGACAUAGAGUGCCUAUUCUUGAUGGAGAGUACUUUCAUGAGUGGAAAAAUGAGAUGCUUGAGAUUUUCAAUGAAUAUCACUUGAACAAGUACAUUACUAGUCCUUGCAUUCCCCCUAGUGAUCCUUUGCAUCCCACUCCCGAUGAGGAUCUUGACGUGAUUCGCAAUCUUAGAACUAUCAAUCUUAUCAUUAGAGGAUUGCCCAAAAAUUUGUUUGCUAGCUUGCCUACUCUUGAUUGUGCCUACACUAUAUGUAGAUUUCUUGAGGAACGAUUCCCAAAUUAUUCCUUGAAAAAUCUAGAUGAGAUUCUCCAUAAGUCUAUUGCCUUGAGCAAGAUGAAUUCCAAUGAUCCUAAGUUUUGUGAUUGUCUAAUUGAGCUUACUAGCCUCAUGCGUGCCAAAGGAGAUGUUGGAAUCGUUAGCAACAUCACCUCCGAAGUCAUUAGAAUCCAUAAAGAUGCACAUUUUCAUGGUCAUAAAUCUAAUGAAUCACUCUCUCUAGGAAUUGAUCCAUCACAAGACGAUGUUGAACAUGGAUACGAUGAUGAGGAUGAUGAUAGUGACUUUGAUCUCGAUAAAUCUAUGAGACACUUUGGUCUUAUGGCAAAUCUUUGCGGCUACAUGGCUGGAGGAAAGGAAUGGGUCCUUGAUAGUGGAUGUACUGAUCAUAUGACCGGAGAUAAGGAUAUGUUUCGUGAGCUUGCUGAAAACGACGGCCCUCGGUAGUAUGUCACUUUAGGUGAUAACUCAAAGGGUAAAAUGGUUGGCCUUGGUAAGGUGGCCAUCUCACAUGAUAGCUCCAUACAUAAUGUUAUGCUUAUUGAAUCUCUUGGCUACAAUUUACUUUCUGUAUCUAGACUUGCCGACUUUGGUUUCAUUGUCCUAUUCACGGAAGUAGAUUGCCAAGUGUUUCGUAGAGAUAAUCAUAAAAUGGUCUUUAUCGGUAUAUGUAGAGGAGAUCUUUACAUUGUUGACUUCACUAAAAAGGCUCAACCUAGAACUUGUUUAAUUGCAAAAUCUUCAAAAGGUUGGUUGUGGCAUAGAAGAUUAGGUCAUGUGGGCAUGCGAAAUCUUGAUAAGCUCAUUAAAAGUGAUCAUAUCCUUGGAGUAAAAGAUGUUAUAUUUGACAAGGAUAGAUUGUGUAGUGCUUGUCAAGCAGGAAAACAAGUAGGAGGAAGUCACCCCGUGAAGAAUAUCAUGACCACGAGAAGACCGCUCGAGCUACUUUAUAUGGAUCUUUUUGGUCCCAAUGCCUACAAAAGUCUUGGUGGUAACUCGUUUGGUCUAGUCAUAGUCGAUGAUCUUUCAAGAUCUACAUGGGUGUUCUUUCUUGAUGAUAAAUCGCAGGUCCAAAAGAUCUUCAAGAACUUCUCUAGGAAGGCCCAAAAUCAAUUUGAAGUGAAGAUCAAGAAGGUUCGCAUCGACAAUGGAACGGAGUUCAAGAACACAAAUGUGGAUACCUUUCUUGACGAAGAAGGGAUUUCACACGAGUUCUCGGCUACGUACACGCCUCAACAAAAUGGAGUUGUUGAGAGGAUGAACCGAACUCUUAUCAAAAUGGCGAGAACGAUGCUUGAUGAGUACAAGACUCCAAAACACUUUUGGGCGGAAGCGGUUGAGACAGCUUGUCAUGCAACAAAUCGCGUGUAUCUUCACAAGCUACUCAGCAAGAUGGCAUACGAGCUCCUCACCGGUAACAAACCCCAAGUUGGAUACUUUCGAGUAUUUGGCUCAAAGUGUUACAUUCUUGAUAAGCAUCGUCAUUCUAAAUUUGCUCCUAAAUCGCAUGAGGGUUUCCUACUUGGUUAUGGCUCAAACUCUCACACUUACCGUGUCUACAACAAUUUCACCCGAAAGGUUGAAGAGACGGUAGAUGUGAAGUUUGAUGAAUCUAAUGGCUCGCAAGUAGAGCAAUUGCCAAUUGAUGUAGGAGACAAAGACCCUUCAGAAGCAACCCAAAACUUGUCUAUUGGCAAGAUCCGUCCAACGGAGGUGAAGGAGAGUACCUCGUCUGUCCAAGUGGAAGCUUCUACUUCACGACAAGGCGAACCAAGAGUUGACACGAAAGCAUCCACAAGUGGGACACAUCGAGAUGAAUAAAACGAGGGAGUACACCAAGAUGAACCUCAUCAACCUCCUUCUCCACCAUGACGAGAUAACGACAACGUCAACUAUGAAGAAGGCCAAGAAGAAGAACAAGAUGAUGAAGAAGAUGUUCCACCCCGACCCAAGCAAAAGCUCUCAUGAGUUCGAGCAAGAGUCUCAAGAGACCAUCCCGUCGAACAAAUCUUCAAUGAUAUCCAAACUGGGAGAAUCACUCGCUCUAAAACUCGUUUGGCUAAUUUUUGUGAGCAUUAUUCAUUCAUCUCUAGCAUUGAACCUAUGAAGGUUGAAGAAGCAUUGGAAGAUCCGGAUUGGAUAAAUGCCAUGCAUGAAGAGCUACACAACUUUGAGAGAAAUCAAGUGUGGACAUUGGUCGAGAAGCCCGACAACAACCACAACAUCAUCGGUACCAAAUGGGCGUUUCGCAACAAGCAAGACGAAGAUGGUCAAGUCGUCCGCAACAAAGCACGUCUCGUCGCCCAAGGCUACACUCAAGUUGAAGGUAUGGACUACGGUGAGACAUAUGCCCACGUUGCUAGACUUGAGUCCAUCCACAUCUUACUUGCCUAUGCUAAUCACCAUGAUAUCACCUUGUACCAAAUGGAUAUUAAAAGUGCUUUUCUAAAUGGUGAAAUUGAGGAGGAAGAUUAUGUUAAACAACCUCCCGGCUUUGUCAAUCCUAAGAAACCUGAUCAUGUUUACAAACUUCACAAAGCUCUUUAUGGUCUUAAACAAGCUCCUAGAGCGUGGUAUAAAUGCUUGACCAAGUUCCUUAUUGAGAAAGGCUUUGAGAUUGGAAAAAAUAGAUUCUACUCUUUUUGCUAAAAGGGUUAAUGGUGAAUUAUUUGUGUGCUAAAUUUAUGUUGAUGAUAUGAUAUUUGGUUCGACUAACCCUCAUUUUAGUGAAAAGUUUGGAAAGCUAAUGUCGAAGAAGUUCAAGAUGUCUAUGAUGAGUGAACUCAAGUUCUUUCUUGGGUUGCAAAUCAAGCAAGAUGAGGAAGGCACCUUUGUUUCUCAAAAAAAGUACACCAAGGACUUAUUCAAGAAGUUCAGCAUGCAAGAAAGCAAAGGUACGAAAACUCCCAUGCCUCCUAGUGGACAUCUUGACUUGACCAAGGAUGGCAAAUCGGUUGACCAAAAGGUUUACCGAUCUAUGAUUGGUUCAUUGUUAUAUCUAUGUGCCUCCCGUCCCGACAUUAUGCUAAGUCUGUGCAUGUGUGCACGAUAUCAAGCAGCCCCCAAAGAAUGUCAUCUUAAGGCUGUGAAAAGGAUAGUGAGAUACUUAAUACAUACACCAAAUUUUGGCAUUUGGUAUCCUAAGAGGUCUUCUUUUGAUCUUGUUGGCUAUUCCGACUCGGACUAUGGAACGAUGGUGGACAGAUGGUUGCGGUCGGCGGUGCAGGACAUGAAAGAAAAUAACCGGACAGAGGUUUUAUGUCCGUGUCGAAAAUGCAAAGGAAUAGUUUGGCUCGACCCCUAUGAUGAUGGUCGUGUCGAAGCGCACCUGCUCAUGACUCGUUUCAUGGAUGGCUAUACUCGGUGGAUAAUUGAAGAUGAGGAUGAUGAUGUUGAGGACGCCGACGGGGCAAGCAAUGACGACACGGGGCAAGAAGAAGAGAUGAUCGAUAAUGGCGGUGGGGAAGAGGCCGAACAUGGUGGCGAAGAAGGGGCCGAACACGGCGGAGAAGGGGCCGGACAUGGCGGCGAAGAGAACGAUGUGGACUCCACGCAGUAGAGUUUGACGGUACUAAGUUCAAUUGUGCGGGACCCUCAUGUUCAAGCACUGCUUCGCAAGGAGAUGAGUACCGAGAGAGCUGCUUCGAGAGAGGAGGCUAAGCUGGAGCAACUAGUGGUAGACUCAAACACUCCAUUGUAUGAUGGUUGCAAUCCUGAGGUGACCCGCUUGAGUUUCACGCUCCAACUCCUGAAGACGAAGGCUAAAAACAAAUGGAUCGACACUAGCCUCGAUGAGCAUCUCAAGUACCUAAAGGAUGUUCUUCCCACGGGGAAUCUAUGUCCUACUAGUGUUGAUGAGGCCAAGAAGAUCGUGUGCCCUCUUGAUCUGCCACACAUUAGAUACCAUGCAUGCAUCAACGAUUGCAUAAUUUAUCGGAAGGAGCACGCGGAAAAAACAAGCUGUCCGGUGUGCAAUGCUUCUCGAUACAAGAAGGCUGGGAAGAAAUGUCCCCAGAAAGUUGUAUGAUACUUACCGAUCACUCCCUGUCUACAGCGGUAUUUUGUAGAUCCCAAGGAAGCAAAGCUAAUGUGCUGGCACGCGGAGAGGAAGAAGCCCGACGAUGGAGAUGAUCUGAAGCCGAGACACGUCAAGGAUGGAAGCCAGUGGAGAGCGUUGAACAGCUUUAUCGGUAUUUCGAAUGUGAUUCAAGGAACAUCGUGCUCGACGCGUGUACCAAUGGCAUGAAUCCGUUUGGCAACCAGAACACCAACGAUAGCACAUGGCUCGUGUUUGUAUGGAUGUACAACCUCCCCCCUGGUUAUGCAUGAAGUCAAAGUACAUUCACAUGAGCAUGCUUAUUCAAGGGCCGAAACAACCAUGAAAUAAUAUUAAUUUGUAUCUAGGGCUACUUCAGGAGGAGUUAGACACGUUAUGGAAAACACCGGCCAAGACAUGGGACGCCAGCAAAGGCAAGUUUUCUACAUGAGAGCCGCGCUGAUCACGACGGUGCACGACUAUCUCGGUUAUGGAUAUGUCGCAGGCCAGGUGUGCCAUGGAUAUUGCGGAUGCACACGGUGCAUGGAUGAUACGACGUCUCAGCAGCUAACGUCAAUGAAAGAUGGCGGGUCUGGGAAAAUCGUGUACAUCGGGCAUCGAAGAUGGCUCGAACAGGACGACCCAUGGAGAAACCGUGGAGAUCUAUUCAAUGGUCACGCUGAGCAUCGAGGACCUCCACGUAAGCGGAGCGGUGCCGAAAUCGAUGAGUUGUUGAAAAACUGGAAGGAGUGCCCCACGCCGGGAAAGACGAUGAAAAAGGCGCCGGAACCGCUGCUGAAGGUAUGGAAGACGAGGUCUGUGUUCUGGGACUUGGAGUACUGGCACAAACUUGAUACACCUCAUUGCCUUGAUCAAAUGCAUAUAUGUAAGAAUGUCCUUGAGAGCUUGCUCGCGACACUGAUGAACAUGCCGGAUAAGACCAAGGAUGGGCCGAAGGCAAGAAAAGACUUGCAAGAUUUGAAAAUCUGGGAAGAUCUGCACAUGCUGCCCCGUAAAAUGUCAGACAAGACAGAGACGGAGACAGAGCCGCGGGAGAAGAAGGGCAAGAAAAUAAAUAAAGAGGAUUAUUGCCCCCCUUCUUGCUUCACCUUAAGUCAGGCUGAGAUCGGUCAAUUAUUUAAGUGCCUUACCGGAGUCAAAGUUAGUUCCGGUUACUGUCGCAAGAUAAGCAGAUAUCUAGACACGGACAAGAAAAGGUUCAGCGGGAUGAAGUCCCAUGACUGUCAUGUGCUGAUGAUGCAGAUACUACCUAUUGCCCUUAGAGGGAUAAUGGACAAGCAUGUCCGUGACACGCUUAUUGGUCUCUGCAACUUUUCUCUCUCAAAAGUCCAUCAGUCUGAAGCAGCUCCGAAGGCUACAGGAAGAGAUCAUUGUGAUACUGAAUGAGCUUGAGAUGUACUUCCCACCCGCAUUCUUUGACGUGAUGGUGUGAUCACCCACAAAGUAUAGGGGAUCUAUCAUAGUCCUUUCGAUAAGUAAGAGUGUCGAACCCAACGAGGAGCAGAAGGAAAUGAUAAGCGGUUUUCAGCAAGGUAUUCUCUGCAAGUACUGAAGUAAGUGGUAACAGAUAGUUUUGUGAUAAAAUAAUUUGUAACGAGCAACAAGUGACAAAAGUAAAUAAAGUGCAGCAAGGUGGCCCAAUCAUUUUGUAGCAAAGGACAAGCCUGGAAAAACUCUUAUAUAAGGAAAAGCGCUCCCGAGGACACAUGGGAAUAUCGUCAAGCUACUUUUCAUCACGUUCAUAUGAUUCGCGUUCGGUACUUUGAUAAUUUGAUAUGUGGGUGGACUGGUGCUUGGUAGCUGUUCUUACUUGAACAAGCAUCCCACUUAUGAUUAACCUCUAUUGCAAGCAUCCGCAACUACAACAAAAGUAUUAAGGUAAACCUAACCGCAGCAUGAAACAUAUGGAUCCAAAUCAGCCCCUUACGAAUCAACGCAUAAACUAGGGUUUAAGCUUCUGUCACUCUAGCAACCCAUCAUCUACUUAUUACUUCCCAAUGCCUUCCUCUAGGCCCAAAUAAUGGUGAAGUGUUAUGUCGUCGACGUUCAAAUAACACCACUAGAGGCUAGACAACAUACAUCUCAUCAAAAUAUCGAACGAAUACCAAAUUCACAUGACUACUAAUAGCAAGACUUCUCCCAUGUCCUCAGGAACAAACGUAACUACUCACAAAGCAUAUUCAUGUUCAUAAUCAGAUGGGUAUUAAUAUGCAUAAUGGAUCUGAACAUAUGAUCUUCCACCAAAUAAACCAACUGGCAUCAACUACAAGGAGUAAUCAACACUACUAGCAACCUACUAGUACCAAUCCCGGACUUGGAGACAAGAAUUGGAUACAAGAGAUGAACUAGGGUUUUGAGAGGAGAUUGUGCUGGUGAAGAUGUUGAUGAAGAUUGCCCUCUCCCGAUGAGAGGAGCGUUGGUGAUGACGAUGGCAAUGUUUUCCCCCUCCCGGAGGGAAGUUUCCCUGGUAGAACAGCUCUGCCGGAGCCCUAGAUUGGUUCCGCCAAGGUUCGGCCUCGUGGCGGCGGAGUUUCGUCCCGAAAGGUUGCUUAUUAUUUUUUCCUCAUCGAAAGACCUCAUAUAGCAGAAGAUGGGCAUCGGAGAGCCAACAGGGGGCCCACGGGGUAGGGGGGCGCGCCCUGGGGGGUAGGGCGCGCCCCCCACCCUCGUGGACAAGUGGGCCCCUCUGGUGAACUUCUUCCGCUGGAUAUUUUUUAUUAUUUCCAAAAACGAGUUUCAUGGAGUUUCAGGACUUUUGGAAUUGUGCAGAAUAGGUCUUUAAUAUCUGCUCCUUUUCCAGCCCAGAAUUCCAGCUGCCGGCAUUCUCCCUCCUUAUGUAAACCUUGUAAAAUAAGAGAGAAUAGCCAUAAGUAUUGUAACAUAAUAUGUAAUAACAACCCAUAAUGCAAUAAAUAUCGAUAUAAAAGCAUGAUGCAAAAUGGACGUAUCAACUCCCCCAAGCUUAGACCUUGCUUGUCCUCAAGUGAAAGCCGAUAACGAUAAAUAUGUCCCCAUGUUUAGAGGUAGAGGUGUCGAUAAAAAUAAAAUACGGACAUGAAGGCAUCAUGAUUAUUCUCAUAACAGCAACAUAUAUAGAUAUUGUCAUAUGAUUUCUUAUGCUCAAGUAAUAAUCUAUUCACAAGGCAGAGUAUAAAUCAUAAACUUUAUUGGGAACCAACAAACCAUAAUCUAAGUCAUUGAAGCAAUUGCAAUUUAUCAUAACAUCAGAAAGAAUCUAUGUCAGAGCUUAAUAGCAAGUCCACAUACUCAACUAUCAUUUAGUCUUUCAUAAUUGCUAACACUCACACGAUACUUGUGGUUACAGAGUUUUAAUCAGACACAGAGAAAGAUAGGGGCUUAUAGUUUCGCCUCCCAACCUUUUACCUCAAGGGUAAUGUCAACAAUAAUAACUAAUGCUCCCCUACAUCAAAUUAGGUAUAUCCAUCAGGAUCUUUCCAACAUAUUGUGCUUGUCAAAGGAUAAAAUGAAAAAGGAAAGGUGAAGAUCACCAUGACUCUUGCAUAAGGUAGGAGAUGAUAAUAAAAGAUAGGCCCUUUGUAGAGGGAAGCAGAGGUUGCCAUGCGCUUUUAUGGUUGGAUGCACAAAAUCUUAAUGCGAAAGAACGUCACUUUAUAUUGCCCCUUGUGAUAUGAACCUUUAUUAUGCAGUCCGUCGCUUUUAUUACUUCCACAUAACAAGAUCGUAUAAAGCUUAUUUCUUCCACACCAAUCAAUCAUACAUAUUUAGAGCAAUUUUUAUUGCUUUGCACCGAUGACAACUUACUUGAAGGAUCUUACUCAAUCCAUAGGUAGGUAUGCUGGACUCUCAUGGCAAAACUUGUUUAAGGGUAUUUGGAAGCACAAGUAGUAUCUCUACUUGGUGCUGAGAAUUUGGCUAGCAUGAGGGGGAAAGGCAAGCUCAACAUGUUGGAGGACCAUGACAACAUAAUUUAUCUCAGAUAUAAGAAAACACGACUCAUUACGUUGUCUUCCUUGUCCAACAUCAACUCUUUAGCAUGUCAUAUUUUAAUGAGUGCUCCCAAUCAUAAAAGAUGUCAACAAUAGUAUAUUUAUAUGUGAAACGUCUCUUUCCUUAUUACUUCCUAUUAAUUGCAACGAUGACCAAAGCUAUGUUUGCCAACUCCCAACAACUUUUAAUCAUCAUACUCUUUUAUGUGAAGCCAUUACUCUCAAUAAGAUCAAUAUGGACUCUUAUUAUUUUUAUUCUUUUUCUCUUUUCUUUUAUUCACUCAAGAUCAUGGCAAAACAAUCAAGCCCUUGACUCAACACUAAUCUUCAUUAUAUAGCUCACGGACUCGAUUACAUAGAAAGAUCAUAAAGCAAAACACAAAACUAGAUCAUGCCAUAAACUUUAUUCUACUAUAUCAAGAUACUACUUAAUAGGAUCAAACUAAGAAAAACGGUAAAGAUAGGAGUGUGAUGGUGGUACGAUACUGGGGCACCGCCCCCAAGCUUGGCAGUUGCCAAGGGGAGUGCCCAUACCCAUGUGAUUAUGUCUCCUUUGUCGGUGAAGAAGGUGGUGGUGUCGUUGAAGAUGCGGGCUUGUCGUCCAUCUUCCAAGGCAUAGGCUCACCAUCAUAGAAGGGUGACUGAGUCUCCGGGAUCCUCAAAUCUGCAGCCAAACUCAUCCUUUUGAAUCUAUAUUCAUACUCACAGUUUUGGUUUUGCAGGUCAUAGAUUUGGGCUGGAAGGUGCUCGAUCUUCUCAUGAAGCUUGAAGGUGGCCUCCCAGAUGUUGUCAGCAUCUAGCUUGUGGUUGCUAGUCAACUCCGCGAUCAUCAUGUUGUUGGAGUUGAGUCCACGUUCCACCAUCCCUUGGCACUUGAAAACUUGUUGCUCCAAUGCUUCGAGCCUUGUCUCCACACUUCCGGUCACCUUCGGUCCCUCUUCAUCGCGGAUGUGCAGCAACCCAUCACGCAACUCAAUGGUAUGAGGGUGUCGCAGCACCUCCGCGAGGUAAGGGUUGAUGACCUUCUCGAAGAACUUUUCCUUGGAUGCACUUGGGGACGUCAUCAUAGUCUAGAUCUGUCAGAAAAAUAGCUCGAAACAAGAACAGAGGAUAAUUGCAUGAUACGAGAGUCAAAACCUUCGGGAGAAUAUAUAAUGAAUUUUUACCGACCAAAAUACGUAACGUGCAAGAAAACGGAGUCCGGGAGGCAGACGAGGUGCCCACGAGGUAGGGGGGGCGCCCAGGGGGGUAGGGCGCGCCCUCCACCCUCGUGGGGCCCUCGUGUCCUUCCCGGACUGCUACUUAUUUUUCUAUUUUUCUAAAUAUUCCAAAACGGAGAAAUAUUGCUUUAAAAACUGUUUUGGAGUCGGUUUACUUACCGUACCACAUACCUAUUCCUUUUCGGAGUCUGGAAUGUUCUAGAAAGUGUCUCUUAUGUAUUCCUCCGGGGUUAUGGUUUCAAUGACAUUGGUUUCAACAUUUAUAGGAUUACCUGAUCCUUUGACCGUUUACCACCUUCGCAUUUGUGCCUUCAAAGUUGUUGAUUUUUAUGGCACCAGAACGAUAGACCUCCUCGAUAACAUAGGGGCCUUCCCAUUUAGAGAGAAGUUUUCCUGCAAAAAAUCUUAAAUGAGAGUUGUAUAGCAAUACAUAAUCACCUACAUGAAACUCACGCUUUUGUAUCCUUUGUCAUGCCAUCUUUUAACUUUUUCUUUGAACAACUUGGCAUUUUCAUAAGCUUUGGUUCUCCAUUCAUCAAGUGAGCUAAUAUCAAAUAACCUCUUUUCACUGGCAAGUUUGAAAUCAUAGUUGAGUUCUUUAAUAGCCCAAUAUGCCUUAUGUUCUAGUUCGAGAGGUAAGUGACAUGCUUUUUCGUAAACCAUCUUAUACGGAGACAUACCCAUAGGAUUCUUAUAUGCAGUUCUAUAAGCCCAUAAUGCAUCAUCAAGUUUCUUGGACCAAUUCUUUCUAGACCUAUUGACAGUCUUUUGCAAAAUUAAUUUGAGCUCUCUAUUACUCAAUUCUACUUGACCACUAGACUGUGGGUGAUAAGGAGAUGCAAUUCUAUGAUUAACAUCAUAUUUAGCAAGCAUUUUACGGAAAGCACCAUGAAUAAAAUGUGAACCACCAUCAGUCAUUAAAUAUCUAGGGACUCCAAACCUCGGAAAAAUAACUUCCUUAAGCAUUUUAAUAGAAGUGUUAUGAUCAGCACUACUAGUUGGAAUAGCUUCUAGCCACUUAGUAAUGUUAUCAACAGCAACUAAAAUAUGUCUAUAUCCAUUAGAGGCAGGAAAAGGUCCCAUAUAAUCAAAGCCCCAAACAUCAAAUGGUUCAAUAACGAGUGAAUAAUUCAUAGGCAUUUCUUGACGUCUACUAAUAUUACCAAUUCUUUGACAUUCAUCACACGACAAGACAAACUUACGGGAAUCCUUGAAGAGAGUGGGCCAAUAAAACCGGAUUGCAAUACCUUAUGUGCAGUUCUAUCUCCAGCGUGGUGUCCUCCAUAAGCUUCGGAGUGACACUUGCGUAGGAUCUGUUCCUGUUCAUGCUCAGGUACACAACGUCUAAUAACACCAUCUACUCCUUCUUUAUAAAGAUGUGGGUCAUCCCAAAAGUAAUGUCUCAAAUCAUAGAAAAACUUUUUCUUUUGCUGGUAUGUGAAACUAGGUGGUAUGAAUUUAGCAACAAUGUAAUUAGCAUAAUCAGCAUACCAUGGAGUACUAUGAGAAGUAUUUAUGACAUUUAAUUGUUCAUCGGGAAAGCUAUCAUCAAUAGGUAGUGGGUCAUCAAGAACACUUUCUAACCUAGACAAGUUGUCUGCAACGGGGUUCUCAACUCCCUUUCUAUCAACAAUAUGCAAAUCAAAUUCUUGUAGCAAGAGAACCCAUCUAAUAAGUCUAGGUUUAGCAUCUUUCUUUUCCAUAAGAUAUUUAAUAGCAUCAUGAUCUGUGUGAAUGGUUACUUUAGAAUCAACAAUAUAAGGUCUCAAUUUAUCACACACAAAUACAACUGCUAAGAGUUCCUUUUCAGUAGUGGCAUAAUUUCUUUGAGCAUUGUCUAGAGUCUUACUAUCAUAAUGGAUAACAUUUAAUUUCUUAUCAACCCUUUGCCCUAGAACAGCACCUACAGCAUAAUCACUUGCAUCACACAUAAUUUCAAAGGGUAGAUUCCAAUUAGGUGGCCGAACAAUAGGUGUAGAGAUCAAUGCCUUCUUAAGUAUUUCAAAUGCUUCUACACAAUCAUCAUCAAAGACAAAUGGUAUAUCUUUUUGUAAUAAAUUAUUCAGAGGCCGAGAAAUUUUUGAGAAGUCCUUAAUGAACCUCCUAUAAAAUCCGGCAUGACCAAGGAAACUUCUUAUACCUUUGAUGUCCUUGGGACAUGACAUCUUUUCAAUAGCAUCAACCUUAGCUUUGUCAACUUCAAUACCUCUUUCAGAAACUUUAUGCCCCAAGACAAUACCUUCAUUAACCAUAAAGUGGCACUUUUCCCAAUUCAAGACAAUAUUAGUUUCUUCACAUCUUUGCAAAACUCGAUCAAGAUUGCUCAAGCAAUCAUCAAAACAGGAUACAUAGAUGGAAAAGUCGUCCAUGAAAACCUCACAAAUCUUUUCACAAAAGUCAGAGAAUAUAGCCAUCAUGCAUCUUUGAAAGGUAGCAGGUGUAUUACAUAAACCAAAAUGCAUAUGUCUAUAAGCAAAAGUACCAAAAGGGCAUGUGAAAGUAGUCUUUGAUUGAUCUUUAGCUGACACAGGUAUUUGAGAGAAACCAAAAUAACCAUCUAGAAAGCAAUAAUGUGUAUGUUUGCAUAAUCUUUCUAGCAUUUGAUCGAUAAAAGGUAAGGGGUAAUGAUCUUUCUUGGUAGCCUGAUUUAAUUUGCGGAAAUCAAUUACCAUCCUAUAACCUGUAAUAAUUCUUUGUGGAAUCAAUUCAUCUUUAUCAUUAGGAACGACAGUAAUACCUCCUUUCUUAGGGACACAACAGACAGGACUUACCCACUGACUAUCAGCAACGGGAUAAAUUAUACCUGCCUCCAGAAGCUUUAGUAUUUCUUUUCUUACCACUUCUUUCAUUUUAGGAUUAAGCCUUCGUUGAUGAUCACGAACUGGUUUGACAUCUUCCAGAUUUAUUUUAUGUUGACAUAGAGUGGGACUAAUGCCCUUAAGAUCAUCAAGAGUAUAUCCAAUAGCAGCACGGUGCUUCUUCAGAGUUUUCAAUAAUCUCUCUUCUUCAUGCUCUGAAAGGUUAGCACUAAUAAUAACAGGAUAUAUUUUCUUUUCAUCAAGAUAAGCAUAUUUAAGAUUAUCAUGCAACGGUUUAAGCUCAAACACGGGAUCACCCUUGGGUGGAGGAGGAUCCCCUAAGAUUUCAACAGGCAAAUUGUGUUUCAGAAUAGGUUCCCGAUUAAAGAAUACUUCAUCUAUUUCUCUUCUUUCAUUCAUAAAAAUAUCAUUUUCAUGGUCUAGCAUAUAUUGUUCUAAAGGAUCACUAGGAGGUACAACAAUAGAAGCAAGACUAAUAAUUUCAUCCUUACUAGGCAAUUCUUCUUCACGGUGUUGUUUACUAAAUUUAGGGAAAUUAAAUUCAUGGGACAUAUCAUCCAAGCCAAUGGUAACAACAUUCUUUUCGCAGUCUAUCUUAGCAUUAACAGUAUUCAAGAACGGUCUACCAAAUAUAAUAGGACAAAAGUUGUCUUGUGGGGAGCUAAGAACAAGAAAAUCAGUAGGAUAUUUAGUUUUCCCACACAAGAGUUCAACAUCUCUAACAAUUCCCGUUGCAGAUAUAGUAUCUCUAUUGGCAAGUUUAAUUGUAACAUCAAUAUCUUCUAACUCAGCAGGUGCAAUUUCAUGCUUAAUUUCCUUAUAUAAGGUAUAAGGUAUAACACUAGCACUAGCACCCAUAUCGCAUAAGCCAUGAUAACAAUGAUCUCCUAUUUUAACAGAAAUAACAGGCACGCCUACCACAGGUCUAUGUUUAUCUUUAGCAUAAGGUUUAGCAAUUCUAGCAGUUUCACCGCAGAAUUGAAUAACAUGCCCAUCAAUAUUAUCAGACAAGAGAUCUUUAACAAUAGCAGUAUUAGGUUCAACUUUAACUUGCUCAGGAGGUGUAUAAGUUCUAAUAUUACUUUUACGAACCACAGUUGAAGCUUUAGGACGAUCCUUUAUCCUAACAGGGAAAGGUGGUUUCACAACAUAAGAAGUAGGAACAAUAAGAUCAUUAUAAGUGACAAUCUUUUCUUCAACUUUAGUAGGUGCAGCUACUUUUACUUCUAUGGGAGGAUGAUGUUUAAACCACUUAUCCUUGGGGAGAUCAACAUAAGUAGCAAAAGAUCAUAGAAAGAAGCUACUAUCUCAGAGUCAAGUCCAUAUUUAGUGCUAAAUUUACGGAAAAUAUCGGUAUCCAUAAAAGACUUAACACAAUCAAACUUAGGUGUCAUACCUGACUCCUUACCUUCAUUGAGAUCUCAAUCUUCAGAGUUGCGUUUAACUCUGUCCAAUAAAUUCCAUUUAAAAUCAAUAGUCUUCAUCAUAGAAGAGCCAGCACAAGAAGUAUCGAGCAUGGUGCGAUUCUUUUCAGAAAGCCGAGCAUAAAAACUUUGAAGAAUUAUUUCUCUUGGGGGCUCAUGAUUGGGGCAUGAAUAUAACAUUGAUUUAAGCCUCCCCCAAGCUUGAGCGAUGCUUUCUCCUUCGCAAGGCCAAAAAUUAUAUAUAUAAUUGCGAUCACGAUGAACAAGAUGCAUAGGAUAAUACUUUUGAUGAAAUUCCAACUUCAUUCGUUUAUAGUUCCAUGAUCCCGUAUCAUCACAUAGCCUAUACCAUGUCAAUGCAUCUCCGUUCAAAGAUAAAGGGAAGACCUUCUUCUUAACAACAUCAUCGGGUACACCUGCAAGCUUAAAUAAUCCACAAACUUCAUCCACAUAUAUUAGGUGUUCAUCAGGAUGUUUUGUUCCAUCUCCUGUAAAAUUAUUAGCUAGUAGUUUUUCCAUCAUACCCGAAGGAAUUUCAAAGUACACAUUUUCAUUUUCAGUAGGUUCAGUAGGUUGAGGAGAAACUCUUUGCUGGUCGGGGUGAAGAUACCCCGAACAAGCCCCUCAGAGGAUUACUUUCCAAAGUACAAGUGACAGUAAAUUUCAGCACACCAUAUAAAUUUUUCCUUACCAAAUUCCACCUACCAAAGGCGCUUCACUCCCCGGCAACGGCGCUAGAAAAGAGUAUUGAUGACCCACAAGUAUAGGGGAUCUAUCGUAGUCCUUUCGAUAAAUAAGAUUGUCGAACCCAACAAGGAGCAGAAGGAAAUGAUAAGCAGUUUUCAGCAAGGUAUUCUCUGCAAGUACUGAAGUAAGUGGUAACAGAUAGUUUUGUGAUAAGAUAAUUUGUAACGAGCAACAAGUGACAAAAGUAAAUAAAGUGCAGCAGGGUGGCCCAGUCCUUUUGUAGCAAAGGACAAGCCUAGACAAACUCUUAUAUAAGGAAAAGCGCUCCCGAGGACACAUGGGAAUAUCGCCAAGCUAGUUUUCAUCACGUUCAUAUGAUUCGCGUUCGGUACUUUGAUAAUUUGAUAUGUGGGUGGACCGGUGCUUGGGUGCUGUUCUUACUUGAACAAGCAUCCCACUUAUGAUUAUCCUCUAUUGCAAGCAUCUGCAACUACAACAAAAGUAUAAAGGUAAACCUAACCACAACAUGAAACAUAUGGAUCCAAAUCAGCCCCUUACGAAGCAACGCAUAAACUAGGGUUUAAGCUUCUGUCACUCUAGCAACCCAUCAUCUACUUAUUACUUCCCAAUGCCCUCCUCUAGGCCCAAAUAAUGGUGAAGUGUUAUGUAGUCGACGUUCACAUAACACCACUAGAGGCUAGACAACAUACAUCUCAUCAAAAUAUCGAACGAACACCAAAUUCACAUGACUACUAAUAGCAAGACUUCUCCCAUGUCCUCAGGAACAAACGUAACUACUCACAAAGCAUAUUCAUGUUCAUAAUCAGAGGGGUAUUAAUAUGCAUAAUGGAUCUAGCAUCAACUACAAGGAGUAAUCAACACUACUAUCAACCUACUAGUACCAAUCCCGGACUUGGAGACAAGAAUUGGAUACAAGAAAUGAACUAGGGUUUUGAGAGGAGAUGGUGCUGGUGAAGAUGUUUAUGAAGAUUGCCCUCUCUCGAUGAGAGGAGCGUUGGUGAUGAAGAUGGCAAUGUUGUCCCCGUCCCGGAGGGAAGUUUCCCCGGCAGAACAGCUCUGCCGGAGCCCUAGAUUGGUUCCGCCAAGGUUCCGCCUCGUGGCGGCCGAGUUUCGUCCCGAAAGGUUGCUUAUUAUUUUUUCCUCAUCGAAAGACCUCAUAUAGCAGAAGAUGUGCAUCAGAGAGCCAACAGGGGGCCCAUGAGGUAGGGGGCGCGCCCUGGGGGGGUAGGGCGUGCCCCCCACCCUCGUGGACAGGUGGUCCCCCCUCUGGUGAACUUCUUCUGCUGGAUAUUUUUUAUUAUUUCCAAAAAUGAGUUUCGUGGAGUUUCAGGACUUUUGGAGUUGUGCAGAAUAGGUCUUUAAUAUUUUCUCCUUUUCCAGCCCAGAAUUCCAGCUGCCGGCAUUCUCCCUCCUUAUGUAAACCUUGUAAAAUAAGAGAGAAUAGCCAUAAGGAUUGUGACAUAACAUGUAAUAACAGCCCAUAAUGCAAUCAAUAUCGAUAUAAAAGCAUGAUGCAAAAUGGAAGUAUCAUGGUGCAUCUGUGUGUCCAUAUUGUGGACGACAUAAUAGACCUGGGGUCGUCAUUUCUGCACAACAUGAUGUCGUUUGAGAGGAUGAAUGAUAUCAUCAAAGGAUUCGUUCGUAACAUGUCCUGUCCGGAUGGAAGCAUCGUCCAGGGCUAUCUCACACAAGAGUGCAUCUCUUUCUGCGAGAAUUUUCUAUUUGGCACAGACCUGCAGCCGCCUAGUGUUAGUGUUGGUUUACCCGUUAACAAGCAUGAUGGGACGCUCGAAGGAGAAGGUCACUCCAACAGUCACAGGGAACUGCAUGUGGCAUACUCAGAUCGACGCAGCGACUUUGACAGAGCAAACUUGGUAGUGCUACAACACCUAGACGAGGUAGAUCCUUUCGUUGCACUACACAAAGAAAUUAUCGCAAAGAAGUAUCGUCACCGGGGGGGUAUGUGAUACGUCUCCAACGUAUCUAUAAUUUUUGAUUGCUCCAUGCUAUAUUAUCUACUGUUUUAGGCAUUAUUGGGCUUUAUUAUCCACUUUUAUAUUACUUUUGGGACUAACCUAUUAACCGGAGGCCCAACCCAGAUUUGCUGUUUUUUGCCUAUUUCAGUGUUUCGAAGAAAAUGAAUAUCAAAUGAAGUCGAAACGGAACGAAAUCAAUUGGAGAAGUUAUUUUUGGAAGGAAAGCUACCGGAAAAGCUAGGACCCCACGUCAGGAGAGAAGGGAGGUGCUCACGAGGGUGGGGGGGACGCCCACCCCCUAGGGCGCGCCCCCUGCCUCGUGGGGCCCCCGAAGCUCCACCGACGUACUUCCUGCACCCAUAUAUACCUACGUAACCUAAAACUUCCAGAACGGAGAUUAGAUCGGGAGUUCCGCCACCGCAAGCCUCCAGAGCCACCAAAAGUCAACCGGGACCCUGUUCCGGCACCCUGCCGGAGGGGGGAACCCUCACCGGUGGCCUUCUUCAUCAUCCCGGCGCUCUCCAUGACGAGGAGGGAGUAGUUCACCCUCGGGGCUGAGGGUAUGUACCAGUAGCUAUGUGUUUGAUCUCUCUCUCUCUCUCGUGUUCUUGAUUUGGCACGAUCUUGAUGUAUCGCGAGCUUUGCUAUUAUAGUUGGAUCUUAUGUUUCUUCUCCCCCUCUUCUCUCUUGUAGUGGAUUGAGUUUUCCCUUUGAAGUAAUCUUAUCGGAUUGAGUCUUUAAAGAUUUGAGAACACUUGAUGUAUGUCUUGCCGUGCGUAUCUGUGGUGACAAUGGGAUAUCACGUGAUUCACUUGAUGUAUGUUUUGGUGAUCAACUUGUGGGUUCCGCCCAUGAACCUAUGCAUAGGGGUUGGCACACGUUUUCGUCUUGAUUCUCCGGUAGAAACUUUGGGGCACUCUUUGAGGUCCUAUGUGUUGGUUGAAUAGAUGAAUCUGAGAUUGUGUGAUGCAUAUCGUAUAAUCAUGUCCACGGAUACUUGAGGUGACAUUGGAGUAUCUAGUGACAUAAGGGUUUUGGUUGAUUUGUGUCUUAAGGUGUUAUUCUAGUAUGAACUCUAGGGCUGUUUGUGACACUUAUAGGAAUAGCCCAACUGAUUGAUUGGAAAGAAUAACUUUGAGGUGGUUUCGUACCCUACCAUAAUCUCUUUGUUCGUUCUCUGCUAUUAGUGACUUUGUUGUGACUCUUUGUUGCAUGUUGAGGGAUAGUGAUGUGAUCCAACUAUGUUAUUAUUGUUGAGAGAACUUGCACUAGUUAAAGUAUGAACCCUAGGCCUUGUUUCAUAUCAUUGCAAUACCGUUUACGCUCACUUUUAUCAUUAGUUACCUUGCUGUUUUUAUAUUUUCAUAUUACAAAAACCUAUAUCUACCAUUCAUAUUGCACUUGUAUCACCAUCUCUUCGCCGAACUAGUGCACCUAUACAAUUUACUAUUGUAUUGGGUGUGUUGGGGACACAAGAGACUCUUUGUUAUUUGGUUGCAGGGUUGUUUGAGAGAGACCAUCUUCAUCCUACGCCUCCCACAGAUUGAUAAACCUUAGGUCAUCCACUUGAGGGAAAUUAGCUACUGUCCUACAAACCUGUGCACUUGCAGACCCAACGUCUACAAGAAGAAGGUUGUGUAGUAGACAUCAAUAUGCAGGACGGACGCCGAAGUUACUAGAGAGCACAACUCCACUUUCCUGCAUUGGUUCAAAGAGCAUAUUAUUGCUAAUCCCCCGGAGGAGGGCUCUAAGGACGGAUUGCUCAUAUAUGCCUUAGCACAUGGCCCCUUGCCCGACCUCGUAACCUAUCAGGCAUACGAUAUCAACGGAUACACGUUCUACACGGAGGCCAAAGAUAUGGACAGUGAUGAUCAGAACUCAGGGGUGACGAUGGAAUGCAUGACCGACAGCGACAACGGCACAACUGAAAGAUUUUACAGAAGGGUCGAGGAGAUCUGGGAGCUUGACUAUGCUGGACUGCACAACACGACGAUGUUCCGUGAUAGAUGGGCUAAGAAUGUCGAAAGAGAAAACCGGAAUUUCACUACCAUGACUAUACCCGACGCCAAUAGCGCUAACGUGAACGCUAUCGCAAAAAACGAGCCAUGGGUACACGCUAAGCACGUGCCACAAUGCUUCUUCAUAACCGACGCGUGCAAUCCCAGCCGUGUUGUUGUGAGGAGAGGCAAAAGGAACAUCAUUGGAAUGGAUGGAGUCGCCAACGAGGAAGACUACGAUCAGUACGACAACCCAAUGAGGGAAGAUGACGAUGAUGAUGAAGUAUACGUCAAAAGAAGAAUCAAUACUACAUUACCUAAGAAAAAUCGUACUCCAUGGAAAAGGCAAAGUCACAGUGAGGGGCUCAAUUAUUCUUCAACGAACAAGAAGGGAAAAAAGCUGACUCAAAAACGAAAACGUCAACGCUGAGGAACCGUAUGUUAUCGGUCAAAUGAUGUCCCCGACCCCGACCCCGGCGCUCGGCCCUGACCCCGACGCGCCACUCCUCCCUCCUCUGCUUCCUCCCAUCCCAACCUCGGCCGUCGUCGGGCCUGCCUCCUCGCCCCUGCUCCCUCUAUACCCCCCCCAGCGCUCCUCCUCUCUCUCCUAGCUAGGGUUCUUCGGUUAAUUAGGUUUUAGUUAGGGCAGUAGGUUAAUUAGGUUAUCUAUUUAGUUAUGAAUUUAGCUAGGUUUUUAUGAACCGUACAUUUUAAAAUAGGACAAAAGUUUAGGUUUAAACAAUUGUAGUUAAAAGAAAAGGCAGCAUUUAAGCAAAUUGUCCAAAUCAACAUCCCUUGUUAAAGCAAAUUUAGGUAGGCCGAAUUUAUAUGCAAAUUUGAACUCGACAUGUGAUAUGUGAACAUGUGAUGUUUUGGACAUGUGCAUGGUAAACGAUCCGAGUGGCCUAUGUUACGCCGGAAUGUUGAUUCAUUUCCGUUCUGGUGAAUUUCAGGCGCUCAAUAUGUCCAUUUUUUAGCAAAGGUCGCCGAAAUUUUCCCUGAAUUUUGGCAUGAUUUGUGCUAGAUAGUAGGCAUAUCGAGUGUUGGGAGUUGCUGGGAAACGACAUUCCGACAAACAUAGAUUUUGUUUUUACGUCAUUUCUCAUUUUUUCAUACUUUUAGAAUUAAACGAGGAGACUUAAUCCUAGGAAACAUGUCGAACAACGAAGAAACUGGGCCUUCUGACCAAGAUGCAGAUGAGAUGGAUUAUGAGGGUGAACAAGAGUACCUCGACUAUUUGACUGGUAAGCAAGGUUUGCAGGUCGGCCUCGAUGAUGGUACUGACGCCGACAUCGACACUGACGGCGCCGGCACUGAUGGCGGCGCCGAGACCGGCGGGAAAGGUACCGGCGCCGAUGCCGCUACCGAAAAAGAAGAAGCAGAAGAAGCAGAGGAUACUAAAACCUAACAAACUAGGGAUUGGACGACUAGUGAUCACAAAGAUGGCACCUGGCAAAUUUGAGCCAUUAGAGCCGGAAGAACCUCGCAAGUGCUAUGGGAACGAAGUAGGAUGCAUCCUACAGGAAUGCGCGAGCAUCAAGGACGAUGACUUAAGGAGUAAAGAACAUUUGACUCAGUUGCUCCUAACGAAGUUGCACAAGAGAUUCAAGUUCCCCGACCGGGAUGAUAACAUAGAACACCCAUGGGAUGAUCCGAAGAUGAAAAAUAUUAACAAUCACGCCAUGGGCAUGUUCAGGAAUGAUUUGGCCUCCUGGAAAGGGAGGGUGAAAUGAGCUAUUGAGGCUGAGGAACCCCUGUCCAAGAUUCUAGAGGAAAAUCCGACACUUACGGAAGAGGAGUUUGAAAAGUUCAAGGACACUUGCGCUACCUAGGCAGCCAAGGCUAAGGCUGCGAAAUUCAAGAGGCUUCGAGAAAGGAACAUGGGGAAGCAUCGCCUCGGAAGCCGUGGCUACCUUGGUAAAAGGCCCAUAUGGGAUAAGGAGGAUGCGGAACUUGAAGCCGCGGGUCUCCCAGACCCCUUCGCGAAGUUCACCAACCCCUUGGAGCGUGAUUUCAUCAGGGCCCGCUACAAGUGGGACAAGGAAAAGAAGGUUUUUUACACGGACAAGAUCACGAGGAAACUGAUUAGACUACUGGUAAUUAUUCUCUUACCACCUUACAUUUAGCUCCGGACCUAGUCGACUACACAUUCCUAAACGGUUCACACUCCUUCUGCAGGAGAAGCAACACAAGCUUGCAGCCUAAAGCCCUUCUUCUCCGAUGAGGCCCAAGUGGGAAACCCCUCUCAACCGGGCCUUGAACGAACUUAAGGGACUCCCUUUGGGCCAGCGGCCGAAAUAUGGCCGUGUGCACGGCGCUGGAGACGGCGCCACGUGGAAGGUGUUUUACAACGAGGGCCCGGAGGCCAAGAAGCAGAAAAAGAAGUUUAGUCAGGAGGACAUCAACAAGAAGGUGAACCUUGCGGUUGAGAAUAAAACAGCCGAGGACGCGAAAAAAGCAGCCGAGGAGAAAAAUGAGUUGCUACAGUAGGCAGUCAAUGCAGCCGUAACUACCUGCAGAAAUGAUUUUGCUACUAAUUUGGUUCCAGCUAUCAUCAACUGGACGAAGGAAAAUCCAGACAAGACGGUACAUGAUUUCCCGUUGCCCAGUUUCGUCGGGAGCAACUCCGUGAACAACAACACCACCGCAUCAUCACUUGCUCACACAACCGGGCCUCCUCUCGCAGUCGCUCCCGCUCAUAGCAGCCCGUCCUCAGUCUCUGGUGUGCUAGGUGGGCCUUCGUCUUUGGCUGAGUUUGACGCCAUCACGGUAAUUACAUGUCGCACCAACACACACACACACACACACACACACACACAUAUAUAUAUAUAUAUAUAUAGAAUAUUCCAUUUUCGUUGCCUUUCGGAUGUUUUACGCCACAAACAUAUGUGUUUGCAGGCCGAAGAAACCCCGUGCACCAUACUCUACUUGAUCACAGGCCAGAAGGUGGACGUGGGAAAGGGGAUGAUAAUGAAUCUCUUGCAACCCACGUUUCACAACCAGCCGAUCCCCGCUAGGCACUUCAGGGUUAACUUGUCCAGUGUGAAAUCGGGGCACGAGGAUUUGCCUCCUCUAGUACACCCUGUGGGAGAGGACGACGAGACCCCGCCGUGGAUUGGAAGCUGCAAGGGUUGGGUGCUUCUUUGGCCGAAGAAUCUUAUUCGUCUGGAGCCGGCCGAGAGCACACCAAUAACCACACAUCAACAAGCUUGUGCGGAGACCACCACCCCGCCUACGCAAUUACCAGCUCCUGUAGUGCCGGGUGAGAGUGUUGGAUGACGUGAUGAAGGGGGUGCAAUAGUACUGGCUGAUGUAAUCGGUCCUGUAGAAUAGAGAAUGGAUGAUGAGACGGAGAUCGGCCCUAUGGGUUUCCUCAAUACAAACGCGUAUGACUGUGACAUAGAUAUGAUGAGUCAACCAUAUGACGAAUCGGGCUAUCAGCAUGCUAAUGAGGAUAUGGAUGAUCUGCCCGGGCAGGAAGGUCGUAGCAGGGAUUGCAAAAAGUCUUUCUUCAUGAAAUCCUCACAGGACACGCCUGAAGAUGCCGCCUCAACACAUGCUCAACUAGCCGGGGGUCGUAUAGUGCUUAGCCCGGGAACACUGGGGCAGGGGUUAAGGAAGGGUCUGGAAGGUGUGCCCACGAAAAAGGAGAGGAAGAGAUUGGGGAAGAUAGCUGCCUCCAAACAAGCCAGAGCACAUAGCAGCCAGACGAUGGAUUCUGAAGAGCGUGUACAAGUGAAAGGUGCGGCCAUGUUUCAUCUCACGGGCGAGCCGUUGCUACUGCCGAAACCGCUGGAGGCACUAUCAGGGGAUCUCAGGAGACUGCACGACCAUGUGCUGUCGACUGAGAAAAGCCUACUAGCCUCGAAGGAUCCAGGAUAUCCGACAUAUGCGGCUCGUGUGCCUGAGGGGAAGUGCUACGUCGACACACGGCCCGCGUAGGUGUUCUUCCUGCGGUUUGAUCAUAUAUUUGAGAUAUUUCUGUCAAGGCAGCUCGAUUUUACAAUCGUCCGCCUUUUUGCGCUACAUAUGAGCUCCGUCAUGAAGAGAGAAGAAGUCUCGCAAAUCUGUGUGGCGGAUCCGUACUACAUGCACGAGUCAUUCUUGAGUCUCGGCGACUUUGAGCGUGAAACUGCUAGGGACUACCUCCAAAACUUCAUGGUAUAGAAUAAGGACCAGGAAAUUGUCCUCCUGCCUUAUCAUCCAAAGUAAGUCAGUUCCGGACAACCAUUUCGCACAUUUCAAUCAUUCCUUCUCGCUCAUAUGGAGAAUAAAUUGACGUGUCUUUUCCCAGCAGCAACGGGUGCACCGUCCUUAUCGUUCUUUACCCGUGAGUCUCCCACGUCGUGUAUUUUGACCCUUCCAGAGACUACGAGAAAAAGGACUACACCCACAUAAUGAAAUAUUCUAGAUGAUGCUCUCCAAGGCUUCAGCAUUAGAGGUGGCCACGUGCAGAUCAAGAAACAAAGGAACGAGAAGAUGGGUUUCGUGCAUAAAACUAACUUCUCCUGCAUCCAUGUCCUAAAACCAAGCAAGAAGGAUGGAUUCUACAUCGUCCAUCUCAUGAUUGAGUUCAGCAUGGAUCACCAAAAGCUUCGCAUGACAAGCAGAAAUGAUGAUCAUAUCCACAAGUGGCUAGAUCAAUCUCAUGGAGAAGCGGAUUAUAAACUUAGAGAUGACUUCUUUCGCAUCCAAAGGGACAUUGCGACGAUCAUCAUGAAAGAAGUCGUCGAUGAAAAGGGGAUGUUCCACCACGGCCCUAUAUCACGAUCUGACGUCCGAACUCGCAUAGGCAUGCAACGUCUAGACCUCACGCCGUUCAAGAAGCUAGGGUCCAUCCUCAAUGAUAUGGAAGGAUGGAACUUCUAGUGAUUUACGAUGCCGAUGAUGAUAAUAUGUGUCGGUUGAAGUUGUAUACUUUCUGUAGCAAUGAAACUUUGUGAUGUAACGCUACUUUCUUAGCUUGCGUACGAUGACCUGCAUACCUCUAAUUAAUUAGUUUGCGUACUGUAUGUUGCAUCUAGUUGCUAGCCCUUUCUUUUUCGUGUUGAUCUAGUAUAUUUUGUUGCAUAUGAUUGUACAUCCUGUUGAUGAAGAUGCAUCUCUAACAGGUACCUAGUUUCUUGAUGCCGAAGUGCUAUCUCGUGUACGAAGGCAAGGUUCCGGGAGUGUAUGACGAGUGGCAUGAGUGUCAGGCGCAAGUGCAGGGGGUCUCGGGCGCCAGCCAUAAAGGCUUCAAAAGCAGACAAGAAGCACAAGCUAGUUACUUGAGGUUCAGGCGAGCGCGAGAGAGGACUCAUAACCGCCACUUCAUGUACUGCAUAGUUCCGCUAUCACUCAUAGUGAUAGCACUUCUCGCGUAUAUCAUUGUUUAGAUGGAUGACGUUGUAGUUGCAAGUAUUCGAGACUUGCAUGUAUCGCUAUUUUCGAGAUGAUGAUGACAUACCACUUUGUGUUGGGUGAUGAUUAUGAUGAGACUAUUUGUAUGUAUAUGCUAUGAUUAAUUUGUGGUCUCGCAGCCAUUUGUAUGUGUAUGAUGAUGACACUUGUAUGUGUUAAAGAUUCUUGUAUAAAGCCUGUUCAAAUACAAAACAAAUAUGCAAAAAAAAAUCAAAAACUACUAAAAUUAGCAGUAGCGAGUGGAGGAAAGUUAGCGGCAGUGUGACUAUAGCGGUAGCGCGUACGGCCAAAGCGCGCUAGAGCUAUUAGCAGUAGCGAGCUUCCACGCAGCACGCUGCUGCUACACUUGUAUAGCAGUAGCACGGGAGCACACGCGCUGCUGCUACAGGUUAGCUGUAGCGCCUUAUUAGUAGCGCCGGUCCCCGUGCUACUGAUAUACCUAGAAACCGCGCUACUGCUAGGCUUUUCUCUAAUAAUGGACUAUAACUGCCACAAUGUACUCCACCUCGCACGAAGAAGUGAGACAACCUUUUGCCUCACUGAUUCCCUGUUGAUGGGCCUGCUCCUGAGGAAGAACAACAUGCUAUAGGUGCUCUUCCUGGAGUCUACAAUGCCAACGUGGUUGGAGAAGCUGUAUCCGACUAGCUAGGUUCUCGCCAUUGCGAUGGCCAUAUACACGUCCAUGCGUGAUUGAGUCCGUGAAGUACCGGAGCAGUUACUUGAUAUAGAGCACUAUGUGUUUGCAUGUACAGCUAUUGCAACCAAGUGCCUUAAUGAUGCAAGGGAAAUAGAGCACUCCACCUUACUGUCACCAAAGCCCUUAUCUAGCCUCACCCGACAUAACUAACCACCACCUAUGCUAAUUUCGAAGGUCCAAUCAACCCCAACAUAACAAAUAUCCUCAAAGCCGCAUAGAUAAAUUGCCUCCCUAAACCCUGCCACAUGGGACACAUCUCGUUCAUUCAGACCCAUUUGUUCUUCUCUUAGUAACACCUCGUUAAAAUCUCCUACACACAUCCAUGGCAGGGUGGACCCACUACGGAGUCUAAUCAUCGUAUCCCACAUUUGUUGCCUCAAGCUCCGAUUGGCCUCACCAUAGAUGCAAGUUAAUCUCCAUUCAUGUUUUCUUGGAACUGAGCUAACCGUGUUAAUAUGAUUAAUCUUCCUAAGGCUCAGUCGACCAGGACUUCGUUAAGUCUCAGUUAAUACUAUGUCCGUGAGAUCUUACGUUGAGAUUCAUGUAAAAUGUUCUUUUUAUUUUUUAUCUCUCUCUUGCAUGUUAUGCCAUUUGACUGAGAUUUGGUUAAAUCUCAGCCGACUGAGACCUAGCCACAUCCUAAUAUGAUACGUGGAAAAGUUUUUAACUCGCAAAUUUACAUUGUCCCUCCAGAAAACUGCUAGUCCACCACUUCUUCUGCUAUUAGCUACUGCAAAUCCACCAUCGAAACCUAACAAUAUUGUCAGGCGUUCCACUCUUUAUCUAUACAAACCACCGAUGGCACACAUUCCCGGAUGAGCUCCCGGAGCACACUCGUUGUGGGAUCGCCAACCCCGUGACAUUUCCUAAACAAAGUUUUCAUUGAUUUUGGCCGCCUCACUCGUAACAUCAUCAACGUCCGCAUCUCCUUCUCCUUCUGCUUGCCUCCUUCUCUUCACAAUUGGUGCCUUGCCCGGUGUGCCACCAAGGAUAUCCAUUGCCACCGGUGUAACCCCCUCGAUUUGCAGCACCUUCCCUGCAACCGUGCCUGGUUGGCGCGGUCACCGGCGUCCCGGACGGGCACGGCGAGGCCGUAGGCGCUGCUCUCGGCGUAGUGCUCCCACAGGCCGGACAGGGCAAAGUACUACACCGCGUCCUUGUUCUUGCCGUCCGGCUGUUGCCACACGCUGCUGGCCGCGCCCUGGAAGCGUUCCUGCCAAGCAAAGCAGAGACAAGACUCAUACUGAGAACAGAACAGAGCAAAACAAAGCCGUUUUGAUGAUAAAAGUAGAGGACCUGCCUCCUGCCAUGAUCUCGGUUUGUAAGGAUAGCUGGCGGCGUGGAGGAAGGCCUCGAGAUUGCUGCUGCUCUUCAUCUUUAGCAAUCAGAUCGAUUGCACGCAUCAAUGUACACACGAAUCUGUGAGUGUUCUUCGCCCCGCUGAUCAGCGUAGAAUCGGAUGGAAUGGAUCAAGAUUGCGGGAGACACCGAGCUGAAAUAGCAAUUGAUACUAGUAGUUUCUAGUGGUGCUAGCUAGCUGAGGUGAGGUAGGAGGAGACGGCGGAUAGGAGGAAACUAGGGGAGGGGUGGUCUGACGGAUCGGAUAGAGGGAGGGGAAGCUCAUCCACAACAUCGAAUCCAGCAAUCCGUUUAUGGUUUAUCCAUGCAGCGGUAGGUAGCAAGCUAGG
rnacentral:lncRNA from 1 species